AAGGCCCGUUACAACCUCCGGGAACCUUCAACUGGUUCGGGCAUUGUCCGACAAUGUCGGCCGUACACUUGAUAACCCUAGUGCACCCUGGGGAGUUGGAGCUAAACUCCAUAGGAACAUUAAAGCCAUCGAUGUUGGAGAUGUCAAUGAAGUCUUGGUGCUCAAAUUGGUCGAUUGCGUAUUCGGCUAGUGUGUUGGGAGCUUUACCGUAUCCCUUGCAUUCGAGGACUCCACCGCAGUCGCCUGUCUCGCAUGAGCCUUUCCCGGAGGCAUCGAAAUUGCAUUUGGUUCGAGCCCAAAUUCGGGCUUGUGUGGUUCCGGAGGCUGCAGUGAUUUGCCAUGCUUGACCUUGGUCAAGUCUCUUGCCACCACCCGGAGAUGCGGCAGCCCAAACGGUGUAAGGGCAGUUGUUUCUUAUAUCAAAUGUGGCUGCAUGGGCUAAGCUGAAAAGGGUUAAGAAGAGGAAAGAAAGGGUUGGCAAGGUUUUGAAGGGAUUCAUCGUGGAUGAAAUACACAAGAGUUGGCUAAAUUGUAUAUGUCGUAGUAAUAUGGGUUUGAUGGUGCUUUGGAGUUGCAAUGAGCGAAGGGUUUAUAUAGAGGGAUGGAGCCAUGGGGGGCGGCCAUGGCAGUGCUUUGUAUGAUUUACGGGUGCAAUUGCGUGCUAGAAUUUUUAUCAAGAUGAUGAUGUUAAGACAUUUGGCUUCACCUCAAGUCAAGUCAAGAGUUGCAUUAAUUUAUGCAUUGUUAGGCCAUUCCGAGAAAUUAUAUAGCUGAGCAUUGGUAUAGUGUUACUUUAUUAAUUAACAUUGAAUUUUUUUUCUAGAUUUUAUUGAAAAAUAAUGAGAUUAUUAAGAAAAAAAACCUAAUACAGUUGUGUUGAAAAUAUAUACAUACAUGUGUUGACACUUUCUUGUUACUCACAAACUCUAGAAACUGAAGUAAUACAAAUAAUUUUUCUACACAUAAGUUUUCAAAGUUUUAUUACAAAAAUUUUAUUAUUUUCCACUUAAAUAUUUGAAUUAUAGGUGAGUGAGGACCUUGGCUUGAUGGUCAGAGUAUUUAUUACCUCAUGUGUGGCUUGGGUUCGUGCUGUGUUAGUCGUAUUAUUGUUAGGGUUUUACCUGCCACUAAUCAAAGAAUUAAUUAAUCGAUUAUAUUCAGUUCAGAAAAUAUUAAUAUACAUUUUAACUAAUAUUAUGAUGGUGAUUUUUUAUUUUUCAUAUUCUUUUCAUAAUUAAAAACCACACAUCCAAUUAUAGAUCCCAAUAAGAUUUAUAUACAAAUUCUUUAAAACUCCACCAAUAAUAGUUAUUGAAUCAAUUUUAAAUAUUUUUUUUACCGAUAUUGUAAAUGGACCUAAUAUAGUCUUUUUCUUUUCCGAGAUGCAACAAGAUUUUUUUUAAAAAAUAAAAUAAUCAAAGACUCUUCACGUUAAAAAAAGAAAGAAAAAGAAAGGUGUAAUGAUUUUUUUUGUCCUCUAAUUUUUCGUCUCUUUUAACCCUUAAACUUGUAUUCUUUUUCAAAUAAUCCUAAAAUAGAUGAAAAAGUUAAUGUUUGUUAAUUUUGGGACGUGACAUACACAUAGGUUGCCACGUGGAUGACAUGUCAACAUUUAAUUAAUUUUUUAAAAUUUAAAAAUGUUAAAAAAAUUAUACUUUUUUUAAUAACUUUAAUGAUUUUAAAUUUUUAAAUAAAAUUUAUAGUUUUUUUAAUUUUUAAAAACUUUAAAAUUAAUUAAAAGCGAACGUGUCAUCCAUGAAGUAAUCCACAUGCAUGCCACGUCAAUAAAGUUCAAAAACAUUAAUUUUUCCAUUCAUUUUGGGUGAUUUAAAAAUUACUUUAAAAUAUUCAUAUAAUAAUUACUUAAAAAUUAAUAUAUUUGUAUUCAAAAUUUUAAUUUAUAUAAAAAAAUUCAUUAUUUUAUAUUCAAGUUGUGGGAUAUGUUUUAAAGGAAAAGGAUAGGGAGUGUUCCCUAUCAUAGACUAUUCUUUGUCGGUUAUCAUGUGAUGUGAAAAUUAGAGUAUGGCCAUAUCGGUCUUUUAGAUGUCAGAAUUAACGAAUUUGAUGAAAAAUUGUAUUUUUUUUAUUCAAUAAAUAGGUAAAUUAGUUUUUGUAAGUUAAAUUAAAGAGUAAAUAAGUGAUUCCGUUAAAAAAUUUAUCCAUUUCUAUUGUUAGCAUGAUGUAAAUGUGACAUGUCACGACGCCAAAUUUUGACAAUAUAAAUAGAUUGAAUUUUUAAUAAAAAUGACUAAUAUGUCUCUAAAAUAAUUUACUCGUUUUUUGAGUAAAAUGAACAAAAUACAAUUUGAUCCGUAAUACAAAGUCUCUUCGUAAUAUUUUUAUCAAAAAAAAGUCUUUAUUAUCCUUUUAAAAUUUGUUAUUUUAUUUAAAGGAAAAAGGAAUUAAUGUGUAGAAGUGGAAGACGACAUUUUGGUUAGGCAUUUUGGGGUGAAAUUGUAAAGUUUGUGGAAUUUGAAAUGUCCCCGUUAAUUGCGGUCUCAAGUAUUUUAGUCAGCACCGCAAUGUAUUUAAUUAAGAAAUUUCGAAAAUUUUGACAAUGAUGUGCUGAAUUUUAUGUGCUCUUUUCAUAUUUUGUUUGUGUGAUAAAUAAAAAUGAAAUAUAUUAUGUGAUUCUAAUUAAUUUUGAUUUUAUUUUUGGUAUUUAAAAUUUUUUUAGUCUAAUUCCGUACUGAAAUUUGACAUUUUUUUCUUAAUUUUAUGCCUAAUUUUUUUAGUUUUAAUUUGGUAUCCAAACUAGACCUGGCCAUGGGCCGAGCGGCCCGCCCUGGCCCGACGGCCCGCCCGAAAUAUGAGAGGGUUCGGGUAAAAAUAUAGGCUCGAAAUAUGGGCUUGGGCAAAAAAAUGAGGCCCGUUUAAAAAAUGGGUCGGGCUCGGGCUCAACUUUUUUGGCCCGGGCCCGGCCCGGCCCGAAUAUAAUAAAUAUAUAUUUUAUUUUUUAAUUUUAAUUUUAAAAUACUUUUAAAAUAUUUUUAUUUUUUAUUUUUAAAAUAUUUUUUUGUGUUUAUUAAAAAUCGGGCCGGGCCGGGCUCGGGCUUAUUUUUUCCCGGGCCGGGCCUGGGCAAAAUUUUAGGCCCAUAUUUCGGGCCAGGCCAGGCUCGGGCCUAAGAGUCGGGCCAAAAUUUUUUCGGGCCCGGCCCAUGGACAGCUCUAAUCCAAACUUGUUAAAUAUUAUAUAAAUUACCCAAAGCACUUACGGUUAGAGAUAAUCAUGGGUUGGGUGGCCCGCCCAAAAAAUGGAAAGAUUCGGGUAAAAAUAGAGACCCGAAAUAUGGGUUUGGGUAAAAAGAGGCCCGUUUAGAAAAUGGGUCGGGCCUCAGGUAAAACUUUUUUGCUCGGCCCGGUCCGAAUUAUAUAUUAAAUAUAUAUUUUUUAUUUAAUCAAAUAUACUUUAAAUAUAUACUUUUUUGGUGUUAUAAAAUUUAAUAUGGCCGGGCCAGGUUGGGCUCGGGCUUAGUAAUUUUCUUUCGGGCCAGGCUUGGACUAAUUUUUAGGCCCAUAUUUUGGAGUAAUUUGCCACAUAUUGAUCAAUCUUUGAUUAUUUUUGCUACCUUAUAAAAAAAUAAUAGUAUAUUGGAGUAAUUUGAAUAACAUUUGACAAAUUUAGAUAUCAAUGUACCAAAUUCAAAAAGAGAGAGAGAGAGAGAGUAAAGUUCAAGUAUCAAGUUGGACCUAAAAAAAUAUUAAGUGUCAAAUUAAGAAAAAAAAUCAAAUUCAUAUACCAAAUUAGGAAAAAGUUCUAGUUCUAAUACCAAAUUGGAUAAAAAAAGUCAAGUUCAGGUACCAAAUUUUAUAUUAAUAGUAUGUGAUUAAAUUCUCUUAAAAUCUGUGGCAUUUAAAAAUCCUGCAAGCAUGUGAUUUUAGAAUAACUUUUACACUAUAGUUUUGUUGUUAAAAUAUGUCAUAAGUUCAUGUACUUUUCGUAAAUUUACAAUUUUGUCUAUGUAUUUUUAUUUUUAGGGAUUUAGUCCAUUUACAUUUUAGAUUCUAAAAUUCUAGUCCAACUGUUAACAUUGUUAAAAUUAUUUUGUUAAGUUCAAGUUCAUCACAACAUCAUUUUUUUAGUUGAAUGUCACACCAACCAAUUUAACAAAAAAAUUUAAUAGUGUUAACAAUUAAAUUUUUAAAUGUUGAAAAGUAAAGAGAAUAAAUUUUUGAAAAAAAAGAGUAUAGGGACUAAAUUCUAAAUUUGUGAAGAGUACAAUGACCAGUGACAUAUUUUAACCCUUUUUAAAAAGAAAGUUGUUUAUGCUUAAUGAGGUAUUUCAAAUUCUUCCACAAAAGUAUUUGAAGUGUCAUUCAUUUGGUGCCAGAGAAUCCCUCAACACGUUUUGUAUACCCUCACUUGGGAUUUUGUUUUUUUGACAUUGUAGAGAGCCCAAAUGCCUAAAAUUACCUAAAAAGACAACGAGUUCAAAAGAGUGCUCGACAAAUGGAUUAUGCUCUGGAUGUGGGUUGUAGAGUGAACACCUAUAACCAAUGUAGUCGGUUUCACACCAAUUACAACUAUUCUACUCGAUGUUUACCAUUCUAAUAAUAAACCAAUAAAACCGAGUUCCAAUAAAAAAAACGAUACAUCCACUAAUGCAGUAUUAAAACACUAAUAAAGCAUGGUGAGUUCUUGGUUCUUUAGGGUGUCGAUGGCAUGGUGUCGGUUAAAACCCCAUCACUUUGGAAGCAUAUUAAAGAUUAAGACUACAUUUGUUUGAUUGAAAAUAAUUUUCGAAAAAUAAUUUAAAAAAAUAGAUUGAUUUUUUGAAAAGAAAAUUAUAUUUUUAAUGUUUAGAUGAUUCUGUGUAUAAAAUAUUUUCUAUUAUUUGAUAUUGUUUAAAUCAUUUUUUUAAAAGUUAUUCAUAAUAAAACAAACACAAAAUCGAUAUAUUUGUUACAAAAUAUUAUAGUAAUAUUUUAUUUUGACAAUAAAAAUUUAUUUUCUAAUGAAAUAAUAUUUUAUAAUAAUUAAUAUCAUAUAAAACUUAAUAAUAAACAAUACCUAAUUAAAACUUAAUUUAAAUUACAUAUAUUACAUAGAGAGUGAAUAUUAUUUAAUUUAUAAAAUUAUUAUUGUUAAAAAUUUUGUUAAAAAUCUUUAAUAUUAAAAUAAUAAUCAUUUAUUAUAUUAUUAAAUAUGUAAUUAAGUAUAUAUCUUUAAUAAUAUUUGAUAUUAUAAUAUUUUAAUAUUUAUAAAAAUUUUAAAAUAUUAAAAUAAAAAAUUAUUAUUAUGAUAAUAUUAGGCUUGAUUAAAUUAAUUUUUACAUAAAAAUAAAAUUACUUAUAAAUGAAAUUUUUUUCUGAAAAUAACUUAUGCUUCUUAAAAUGGUAAGUCAAUUUCUAUGAAAAUAGACUUAUUUUUGUUAACCAAAUUAUUUUCCACAAACAAACACAAGAAAAUGUAAAAAAAUAUUUUUUAUAAAUCAUUUUUGUGAGACAAACCCACCGUAAUUUGUAUUUUUUAUAAAUUUGGUGAUUUUUAUACUAAAUUUUCAUUUUUUAUUUUUAAAAUUAUAUAAUGUUUUGUUUUAUUUUUGUAUUUUCUGCAAAUUAAACAAAAUACCAAAUAACAUUUAAGUGUAUGUAUACUGCCGCAAGGGCCCAAAACAACCUCAAAAGCAGCGAAGAUUGAAAGCCUUAAAAUAAAAAAGGGCUUGAAGAAAGACUUGGGCCAAAUCAUAAAUUAAUUUAAGCUUAAAAAAAAAAGUCCACAAUUAUUUGAAAAAUGUAUACCAUUAAAUAGGCUUUUUACCUAUAAAUAUUGGAUACAGCGAUAAAAUAUAUUGUACUCUUAAGAUGAAAUGUAUGUUCAAACGUUAAAGACGACAUGUUUGAAAUGGAAACCACAAACUCUGAACAUGAAUCGUAAAACAAACAUGAUAAUAUAAUAAAAAAAUGGGCUUUUGAUAUUUAAGGAGUUUACUGAGUUGGUGUUAUUGUUUAACCGAAUUCUAACUUAAUUAAGUAAUUAUCAAAAGCUCUUCUUUUAUAAAAUAAUAAACAUUUCAGUAGGGGCGUUUUUAUCAUUUCAAAUAAUAUGAAAUCUAAAAAAAAUAUGUUUUAUGAGAUUUAAACUCAAAAUACAAUAAUUAUUAAUACUUUCAUCAUUUCAACUAAAGUUUCGUGUUUAUUAAAUUUGUUACAUACAUUUUUUUUCCAUUUGUAUGUCAUAAUCUAAUAAAAGUUAGCAUAAACUACACUCAGGUCACUAAAUUAUUUAUAAAUUUAUGUUUUGGUCAUUAAAUUUCAAAUGUUACAAAAUGGUCAUUAAACUAUUUAAAUAUUUUCAUUUAAGUCUCGGGGUUGUUAAAAUCGCUACUAUAUGGACUUCACUAUUCGUAUUGUCCAUACCAAUUAAAAUCUGUCUUUCUUGUUCUUUUCUAUAAUUCAUUUUUUUUCCCAUUAACCAGCUUUGAAUGUCAUAAAUCUGCAAACCAAAAUCCAAACAACUUUAUUCUUUGAUCGCCAAUAGGUAUUAAUCCACUGUAUCGAUCGUCGAAUCACUACUUAGACCUCGCUAGCUAAACUUUAAAAAAAAUUUAACAAUCCAGUAACUUAAAUAAAAACUUUUGAAUAGUUCAAUGACUAUUUUAUAACUUUUCGAAGUUGAAUAACUAAAACCUAAAAUUACUAAUAGUUUAGACAUAAUUUACACUUAAAGUUAUUGGGCUUCUCCUCAAGGUCGGCAAACGGUUUCCGUUUAAAAACGUUGAAAGAAACUGAAAACGUCGUUAAAUUAGCCGUUAGAAAACCUUCCAACGUAAUCUUCUCCCCCGACCUUUUGCUUCUCCGACAAGACAACACACAAUAAAACAUAACUCUAUUCUAGUUUUCCCGCUACUUCACUUUCAUUUUAUCAAUCUUCUCGAAAAAGAAAAACACAAAAUCAAAACCCCAAAUUUCAGAGCCUCUGCUUUAAGGUAAUUUUGGGUUCCUUUAGUUUGAUUUUGUUAUGUAUAAUUUAUGUUCUUAUUGCUCUGUUUGGCUUGCCAGAAACCGUAGGAAAAUGUGGGAAAUAUUUUUUAUCUUAGUGUUACAUUUCUUUUACUUUGUUUUCUUUGGAAACAAACAGAAAAAAAGUUCAAAGUGUUGAGAGAAAUGAUGGUGAAACCUUUGAUUAAAUGGAGCUUUAAUUUAUUUUUUUUACAGGUUUAGCUCAUAUUUGUAACUAUGGUGGAAGUAAAAAAGGAGAAAGAAGAGUAUUAUUAUGAAGAUUUAAUUGAAGAGGAUAGAUCAUCUGCUUCACCUUCUUCAUUUUCAAGCAGCAGUUUUGAUACUAUUACAACAUCGCCUUCUCUUCAAGGGUAUGUUUUUAUCAUUACAAUGUCCCAUGAACUUGUCUGUGUUGAACAUUGUUAAUUAAUUUGAUAAAACUAAGCUUUUGUUGCUAUAUACCAGAAGGGUAACCGGUCCGACUCUCUGGUCCAUGAAAGGAGGGUGGACUAAAGAAGAGGUUAGUCCCUUGUUGUGACUGAUAUGUAUGUAUGUAUGUAUGCUUAUGUUAUUGUGGGUUGAGCAGGAUAAUCUUUUGAUUGAUGCUGUGAAAAAAUGCAAUGCAAGGAAUUGGAAGGGAAUAGGUGGGACUGAAACUUUUCACCUCUUUUCGCUUUUAGUUUCCAAUGAAUGAAGGCUUUUCCUUUUAGUUUAAUUGCAUCUACUAGUUUCGGAAAUUUCUUUACACUAUGCGGUUGCGCUUAGUCUUCAUCGUCCUUACGGAUUAUUCGGAUUUGCAGUUGUGAAAUGUGGUUAAUGUUUGCUAUUUGCAGCUGAAUUUCUCCCUGGAAGAACAGAUAUCCAGUGCUUGCAUCGAUGGCAAAAGGUCUUGAAUCCCGGAAUCUCGAAAGGACCUUGGACAAAAGAGGUUUGAAUAUAAAAGAGUACGUUUUCGUGGUAUUUGAGAUUCUAGUACCAUUGAUACUUGACUUCGGGCUGUUGUUGUUUUUGAAAUUCCAGGAGGAUGAUUGUAUUACUCGGUUGGUUAAAAAAUUCGGUUGUCGGAGAUGGUCUGUUAUUGCGAAGUUUGUGGGAGGUCGCAUAGGCAACCAAUGCCGAGAAAGGUCAGUGCAUUAUAGAUUCUGAUAUGGCAAUGGCCUAUUUUUGGCUAACCAGGAGCCUAGUUAGUGUGUCGUGAUGUGAUUCGGGUUUGUGCGAUAAAACUAGUGUAUAUUUCAGGUGGUACAAUCAUUUGGAUCCAACCAUAAGAAAAGAUUCAUGGGGAGAAGAAGAGGAGGCCAUUCUUACAUAUUAUCACCAAAUUUAUGGGAAUAAGUGGAGUAAAUUAGCUGAGCUUCUACCUGGAAGGUAUGCGUUCAAUAAAUUAGUCCGAAAACAAUUGCUACAUAUGUUGACAGUUAAUGCCAUAUGCUUUGUUAACUGGACUCGGGACACAGGUGUCGGACACGUUAAUUGUUGAAAUUUUGGACAUGGAUAAUACAGGAGGUUUGAAUAUUUUUUCCUCUGCUCAUAUCAUUUUGGCAAUUUGCAGGACCAAUAUUGCAAUAAAGAAUCACUGGAACUGUACCUUAAAGAAGAAGCUUGGUUUGCACUCGCCUCGUCGAUAUGCCAAGGGCAUCAAAAAAGGGUCUUCUGAUUUUCAUGAUCGGGAAACUAUGCCGAAAGGCAUGAAGGUCAAAGACUUGAGACAGGGUCUUGAUGAAACAAAAUUUGUCAAUCAGAAUGUUACUGUGGAUUAUAGUGCUGAAACAUGUAAUUUGGAUUUGGUUCUUGGAAUUGCUGGUCCACCAGAAAUCAAACUAGGAGCAGACCCCGGUAAUGUAGGAAAGUAUAGGUCUCCAGGAGUGUCGUAUGAUCAGAUGCCCGUGCAUUUCAAUGAGAAGGGUACAAUCGAUGAUUCAAUCGUUGGAUCUGUAACAAGGUAUGAUAAGCACACUAAGGUACAUGAACCUCAACCAGCCUUAUUCAGGAUAGUUUCUCAGGGUGGUUGUGCUCUUCUUGCUUCAACAUCAGUCGGUUCUCCAUCAAGUUCCUUAGCUUUCAACCCGGAAAGCAAAAUCCGGAGAACAAAUACAGCAUACUCAAGUGACUGCUCGUUGCAUAACGAGCCAGCUCAGCGAGAGGGUUCGAUAAGUACUGUAUUUCCCGUUGUGGAAAAUGGAGAUAUCCGUUUUAAAAGUUCAUUUUGCCAUGCUUCACCGCCUAACAAACUCAGUGGAAGCCUCUCUCCUAACAGUAGGAGUCUAGAAUCUAUAUUGAGGAUAUCUGCAAUGACCUUCAGGAACACUCCUUCUAUCAUUAGGAAGAGAAGUUACAAAGAGGGUUGGAACGAUAACAUCUCGGAAUCCGCCGCCUCCUAUCCUGUAAGGACUUUUUCGUGUUUUCAUAUGGAAGAAAUGUGAGUUCUGGAUAGGGGUAUGUGCUUGAUAUCACCAUAUCUAUGCAUUGAAAACCAGUACCUUGGUGUGUCAAAGUAUAUUACCACAUAUGUCUAGGGAUAUUUGGAAUGAUAUCCUGUUCAGAAAAUCAACUCUGUCAUUAUAUAUACAUAAGUUAUAUAUGAACACCGGCAUUAUAUAUACAUAAACUAUAUAUAAACACCCACACUCACAAACUGUCAGAUUCAAGCAAUGAAGUUUGAUGUUUAUUUUUACUUUUUGCAAUCAUAGAUGCAAACAGGUUUCUCUUUUCCAAAACAACAAAAAGAUUGCAAGAUUGACAUUUAGAGACCAGGAUCAAAAUUUAAAGAAAAAACAUAUCAAAAGAGGAUGGUAAGAAUAAAAAAUAACAUUUGAUCUUAAGAAAUAACAUCUGUAAGAAUAUGAAUAUCACAAAUACAAAAUCACAUCAUUGGACGUUCAUUGUUGGAAAUGUAAGAUUAUUAAUUGAAGAUGAUAUUUGAGAAUUGAAGGUGAAAAUAUUAUGGCAGAAUCUAAAAUAAUUUCAAGACAACGAAAUGGGUUUUUUAAAGCAAUUAACCCAAAUGUAUUAAUUAUUUAUGAAAAUGACUUAAAUAAAAAAUUAUGUAAGUGUCGUCUGACAUGCCGACGGUAUCUUCCCCUCAUUAUUAGUCAAUCAUACACUUUUUAAAGAACUAUAAUUUUUUUGGGUGUUGUCACUGUGUCAAGUGGCACUAAUAUGUACUUUUUAAAAUACUCGUUAAAAAUAUGGGCAUUCACAGUAAAGAAAAAAAGUAUUUUUAAUGGGUGCUGUCAGUCUAUUAGGUGGCAUCUGUUAAAAUAUUUUUAAAAAAUAUAUGUUUUUAGGUGCCAUCAUUGUGCCAGGUGCCAUCGAUAAUAAUUAAAAAAAAUCCGUUGUAGAAAGAGUAAUUUGAAACUUUGGUUAUUGUUUUAGAAGUUUUGGAAUCCGCUAUUGGGAGAUCUAAACCAUAAAAAUUAACGAGAAGGAGGAAAUAUCUUCUUUGGUGUCAUAAUUGACACAAAAGACCUCCAUAAAUGUUGACAUUAGUGGCUAUUAAGUACGACAGUUAGGGUUUCCAAUUGAGAAAAAGGAAACUAAAGUUUUCAAUUGAGAAGAAUAAGGGAAAUGUAGAUGGAAAAUAGAGAAUCAUAUAUACGAAAUAUUCAAUUCUAUUUCAUAAUAUUUAUUUUAUAUGUUUUAUAUUUUCUUUCUUGUCCCAUAUUUGACUCUCCGUCUUCCCUCUAUCUUUCUCUCAUUAUCUCUUUUUCUCUCGCCCUUUUAUCUGUCUUUCAUAUCUAUUUCUUUUUCGUCCCUCUUUCUCUCAUAUCUCUUUUUUUUUUUUUCUACUCUCAUCUCAUCCAAGAUUAUUUUUUUUUGAAAUAAUAUUUCAUCCGCUGAUGGUGGCAUUGAUAAAUAAAUAAGACAAGAACCACCUAUGAAGCAAACAUCGAUCACGGGUUUUUUUCUUUAUUUUCUUUUUCGUUUUUUUCUAUUUCAACUGUUUCUUUUCAAAAAAAAAUUUCCCUGGUGCCACCUAAUAAACUGGAAGCAUCCAUUAAAAAAUAUAUUUUUUCUCGUAUUUUUAAUGGGUAUUUUAAAAAAUACAUGUUGAUGCUGCUUGACAAAGUGGCAACACCCAAAAAAAGUUAUUUUUUUACAUACAUAAAAUUUGACUUAGGCUAUUUUCAUAAAUAAUUAAUUAUUUUGGAUCAAUUGCAUAAAAAAACCCAAUAAAAUGACUUGAACAAAACUCUCUUUUACAACAAAUCCCAUUGCUAACUUGAUGUAAUAACAAACAUGGCUGGAGAGUUAUGGGUUUAACUUCGGCUAAAGAAUCAAACUUCUGGUGUUUGAUUAUUGCAAGAUUAUCUUGCGGAUAUUUUAGAAUAACUGUGUUGUUCAUGUUUCCCCAAAAAACAAAAGACGGGUUGAUGCUUUGUCUAGAAAAAUACUAGGGGAGCUUUUGUACUAUAAAUUGGAUUAUAUUUUUUUACUUAAAAAAUAUGUAUAUUAAUUUUUAUAUGUUAGAUUGAAAAGUAAAUAAAUUAUUUUAUUAAAAUUUUUAUCUAUUUUUACUUUAUUUUUACACGUAGCAUGUCAUGUGUAAUUGUUUAAUUAUUCCACCAACCAUACCAAUUUUUAACAUUAGAAAUUGAUGGAAUAUUUAAUAAAAAGUACUGACGAUUAAAAGUAGAAAGAGUAAAUUGUAAAUAUGCCAAACAUACAGGGACCGAUGACAAAAUUAGACCAUUUAAAAUUCUUUUACCGAAUAAUCAUCAAAAGGAAAGGACGGAGUUUCUAGAAGACACACCCGUAACACAUUGAUACAUCCCCUCGUCUCCUUUUAUUUCCUCAGUGUCCAUCUGGGUCCCACGUACUUUGACCUUUUCUUUAAUUUUCUAUAUUUUCCCUUUUUAGUUUAAUAUUUUAUUAAUUAUUAUCCUUUCUUUCUCGAUUUCCUUUUCCACUUUCUUCCCCUUAUAUCAUUUACUCCAAAUCCCAGAAUCUUCUAGAAAUAAUAAAAACCUAACCUUACGUUCUGCAACGGUGCUGUCGCCGUCUUUCACUCUCUUACGGUGUUGAAACCCGUUUGGAUUCAACGAUCUUAUCGCAUGACGGACCUGGUUUCUUGUUUGGUCACUGAGAAAAUUUUCGUUGCCUUUUAAGGUACGGAAUUUGUUUGAACAAUUUUGAGUUUUUUUAAUGUAAUUUGUUCUCUAUGCUUAUGUAUGGAUGUUUAUAAUAUUUGUUCAUAACGAAAGCAAGAAAUCUUUUAAUAUUAUUCUGAAACCGUCUCCGUUUCUUUGCUUUUGAAUGAUCUAUAUAAGAUUUGAUGUUGAAUUUGGUAAACUUAAAAAGAUGUUUUCAGCUCUAUGCAUCGAAGAUAUUUUUUUGUUUCAUUUGUUUAUUUUCUUUUUCUAACACUCUCUCGGCUGCCAAUCAGAGCGUUAUUAUUCUUUCGCUUACGUUUGAUGUAAAGGAACGCCAAAGUGAUCUGUCUCCCUCUCUCUAGAGAGUUCGGAUCUAGAAACGAACCGUAUGGCACCAUUGCCGGCCGAUCAACCCUGCGAAUCUCAUGCCAGCGGUGCUGUGGCUGACUCGCAACGGUCUUUACCUACUCCGUUCCUUUCUAAAACCUAUCAGCUCGUCGAUAAUUCAUCCGUCGAUGAUUUGAUUUCAUGGAACGACGAUGGAUCAACUUUCAUAGUUUGGCGCCCAGCUGAGUUUGCUCGUGAUUUGCUCCCUAAGUACUUCAAACAUAACAAUUUCUCUAGCUUCGUUCGUCAACUCAAUACAUAUGUAAGUGUUUAAAAAUCUGAACGUGAUAGUACUAAUAGUUAUUUUUAAUUCAACUUAAAUUUUAAUUUUUCUUAGGGAUUUAGGAAGGUAGUGCCUGAUAGAUGGGAGUUCGCUAACGAUUGUUUCAAAAGAGGUGAAAAAGGACUUCUCCGAGACAUACAGCGCCGGAAAAUAACUCAUAAUGCUUCUGGGAUGACCAUCGCGGCGGUUGCUUGUAAGCCAUCGCCGUCGAAUUCGAGCGAUGAGCAGGUUAUUUCAUCGAACUCGCCUCCUGUUGCUACCGUUUUGAAUCGGACCACGAGCUGCACGACAACGGCGGAGCUUUUGGAGGAAAACGAGAGGCUUAGAAAAGAAAACAUGCAGCUUAACCAUGAGUUAACUCAGUUGAAAAGGCUGUAUAACAAUAUUGUAAUUUUGAUGACUAAUUAUGCUUCCGGUCAAGUGGAGAACCGUUCAAACUUGGCUGAAGGGAAGGCAUUGGAUCUUUUGCCAGCGAGGACGAGGGACGGUGGUGGUUCGAAGCCUGUCCCAGCGGAGACGGAGGAGGAAGCAGCGGAGGAUUUGAGGCCGAAGUUGUUUGGAGUUUCAAUAGGGAUGAAGCGCGUGAGGAGAGAAGGUGAGGAAGAGGAAGGGGUGAUGGAUGAGGAGCAGCAGCAGGAGAUUAAGCCUGGAUCUGACAUUAAAUCAGAGCCGUUGGAUGGCAACAACGAUAAUCAGGACUCCACGUGGCUGGGGCUUGGCAAAUGAUCGAAUGAGAUUUGUUGUUAUUAGUUAUUUGAUUUUCUUUUAAUCAGUGGAUGGCUAUGUUGAUGAUGAGAAUCGUAAAGGAACGCGCCAACGUGGUCCCUAUCGAGCGUGUUUCGAAGAAUCACGUGUUGGGGAACCAGACACGUGGCGCCAUAUGAAAUACUUGUUCUGGAUGCUUCUAGAAUGUAAAGCCCACAGACGACAAAACAUGUAAAAUAGAGUAAACAUGGGCAAAAUUGCCCAAACGGAAUGGGGCAUUCGAAGACGGGCCUCCAUUUCAAAUCGCAGUAGUUGGCUAUUUAUUCAUCUUGUAUUACACAGGGUUAAAGCUGAUUGAAGAAAAUUAACAGUUGUUGCUUAGGAGCCUUACCAAUGAUGGGAUUUUUGGAUUAAACUACCUAUAAUUAUAUUGUUUUAUUUAGAUUAUGUAGAUUUUUUCUAAGCACCCAAGUCGCGACGGAUUGACCCCUCCAAAGUCGGCAUCAACGCAACAUUCUAAGGAUGGAUCCUCUUUCUAAAGUUAUUUUUCGGAUCGAUCUCAUUUGUGUUACAAGGUUGUUUGAACUCGUGCUUUUAUGGCUUUAAAUGACCUUUUUUUCGUCUGUGAAUCAAUACAUAACUAAGAGAUAUCUAAACAGUUGGAUUAUAGUUAAACUAAGUUCGAAUUCUGGGAGGGCAUUAUCUCAAUAUCACCUCUACCUUGAAUUAUACUCGGAUAGUAAAUCAUAUGAGGACAUCUAUGAUUUAUACCAAAAUAUAAUAAAGAGAUAUCCAAAUAUUCAAGCAAGCAAAUUAAAAAGAAAAUCUCUUAAUUCUUUAUUUCUUUCCUCUCUUCUUGUACAUAGUGUAUUGUAUUUUUUAGAGUUUAGUUUUGCAAACGCCAUUUGUUUGCUCAAAUUUCUUAUUGUAUUAAAGAGUGAACUUAAGAUUUUUAAAUAAAAAGCUUUAGAGGAAUUUGUUCUGUUUUAGCCUUGAAAAAUUAGGGAAAGCGGUUUUUAUAUUAAUCGUAAAAGAUAGAUAUUGUAAAGGCUACCCUAUUCUUCAAAGGUAGCAAUUCAAAGUAGUGAGUGAGAAAAGUCUUAGGUAAGUUGAGCUAAGAUAAUGAAAGUAAACAGUUGAAGCCGAAUCACUAUAAAUCGAUUAUGUCAUUUUAAAAAAACUUCUCUAAGGAGUGUUCGAAAAGUACAUAUUUACAGGCUCAUACACGUCUUAAGAGUACUCAAGAGGCUAAACUUUGAUGGAUAAGAUCAACACAUAUCUAAAGAAGCUUAAACUGUCUCAAAAUCCCCAACCCUUAAAACUUUGAAAACAAAUGAAAGACUAUUAACUAAAGGCAUAAAAAAUUCUUCCAUGGCCAAAAGAAACACCAAAAAAGCCUAAACAAUAACCAGAUGAAUCCAAAUGAGCUGAACACUCUAAAUGGGCUUGAAUUUUAAAAGGAGUACUCCUCCAACACUUAAAACUCUUCUAAGCUUAUUAACACCUUCCAUUUAUGUCUAUCUACUAGAUCCAUAAGAAAACCCGUCGCAAGCAGUAUCUUUGAUGAAUUUAAGUUAAUAAAUUUUACCUCAUCCAUGCAUAUAUCAUCUUUGAUUAAAGGCGUCAAUUGUAAAGGGAUUGAGCCUAGAUCGUCUCCAUCGUCAUCCUUAUUUCUUGAUAGAAUUAUUUGAUACACGACCUAUAGAUGGGUCUUUUCAAAUUUCGAGAACCGUUUGUUUUUAGUUUUUUUAAGGUUUUUUUUUUUAUGUUUUAUGUUUCACCAAGUUUUUUUAGUUUUCUUGUGCUUGGUGGUGGUUGUAUGUCUUUAAUGUUUGUUGGAAUUUGGUUAGGUUGCACCUAUUAAAUGACCAUUAAUAAUGAGAAAGAUUAAAAUUAUGCAAUUUGAUAUAUAAAAUUUAAUUUGUUGUAAUUAUACAUAAGAAAAGAAAUAAAUACAUCAAUUUAUUUUUAUAUUGAAUAAAUAUAAUUUCACGUGUAUGUAAUAUAUAAACAUAAAAUGACGCUAUAUCAAUAAUUAUAUUAAUACUUUGUGAAAAUUGGGUCAAAUCAAAAUAUCAUGUAUAAAAUUGCACAAAAUCAAAGAUUUCAUGCAUAAUUUUUAGAUUUAUCUUACCGAAAUUUCAAAAUAAUAUAAAAAAGCCAUGAAUUAAUUAAUACUAGUGAAAAUAAACCAAAACAUGUUUUCCACAUUACAUCAGGGUCUUGGUCUUUGUAUGAAUCAAAUACCAUAUCUCUUUGCUCACAAAAGAAAAUUCCAUCUCCAUAGAAAAGGGAAAUUGUCAUAGAUCAAAGGACCACAAAUACAAUAUAUCGUUAAUGGAAAUGAAAGGACAAAAGAAGUCUAGUUGGGUGCACAUGCUUUCCUCUUUUAGCUUUUCUCAGAAUUAUCAAAAAGUCAAAUCACAUAUUAUCGCUGAUUGGAUUGGUACGUGCAUUGUUAUCAAUAUAAAAUAUAGGUUCAAGGGAGGUAAAGCGCAUCAUCUUUUUAUUUAUGAGUUUGGAGAAGAACUAUAAAUAGUUUUAGGAUUUGAUUGAUCUAACGUAUAAAGAUUAAAUUUUACUACUUACUCUUUUACGAUAAGAUAUUGAAUUGUCGACCAGAAAAAUUGAUAAUAACAAGGCAAGAAAUCCCCCAGCACUUUCCUCAGCAACCAAAAAGAAAAUCUAAUUGUUUGGUCCCUGCUACUUCAAUAUUGUAUAACUUUAUGUACCAAAAAUUAUGCCGACUUUAUUGACUAAAACCAGCACUAUAAGCAAGAUUUCAUGGUUGAUAGGUACCAUUUGAGUUGGAUUCCAUGAAAUUCUAGUUCUUGCUAUUCCUCUCUAUAAUAUAUACCAAUCAUUGCUUUAAAUGUAAACCUUUUUUUUAAUUGAUUUUUAAAAGCCAUGUGUAACCUUUAAGCUCGAGUUUGAUGUCGUAAAUAUACUUUUUAAAGAAAUAUCAUUAUUAACAUGAAAUAAUAAUAUAAGCUGAUCGAGUUUUAAUUUAAUUGGUAUAAAUAUUGUUGUUAAUAUAGAAGGAUGUGGGUUCGAGUGUGUUGAAGCAUUAUCUUUCUAUUUAUGGUUUAGGAAGGAGUUAUGAAUAAUUUUAAACAUUAUGUCAAAAAUAUAAUCAGAAACUAUAAUGAAACCCACCGCAUCAAUGAUGUAUAAAAAAUUUAGUCUCAGAUAGUCCCUCCUCCUUCUCCUCCUCCUCCUCCUCCUCCUCCUCUUGAAUUCUAAUUUUAUAAACAUCAUUAUUGAUUAAACCAUAUGUAGUACUAUAUUAUGCAAAUAUAUAUUGAUUAAACAAUGUGUGGUAUUAAGUAAAAUCUUUUAAAUAAUAUUGAUUUCAAAAUUCAAACUCGAUUCAAAUAUAAUUUCUCAAAACUUAUAAAUUAACACAAAUUUAUUUGUGAAAAAUUAGUUUACCCACAAAUUCUCCAAAAAUUAUGAAGUCAAUAGAAUUACAAAAAAUUAUGAAGUCUACCAAAAAGAAAGCAGAGUGGGGGCAUGAAUUUAUUGGAUUAUUUUAGUUUGGUUUUUGCUGAACGUUUUUCUAGAAGAAGACAUUUUUUAAUAUUAUUUUAUUAUUAAUUCAGCGUGCGCCGCACCGCCUGAUAAUGAUUUCUGCUAACUCUUUUUUAUAGUUAAAUUUGAGAAUUUUAAAAAAAUUAGUCUACAAAUUGAAAAGUAAGUUAAUUUUUCUUUUUAAAUUUUAUCUAUUUAUAUUAUUAAAAAUCGGGACGGUUGACAUAAUAUUUUGACUAUUACACAUGUACUUUUUUUUUGAGAUAACGCUUAAAACUACCGAUAUCCCCUCUUUAACCCAUAAAUAAGAGGAUAUUACGCUUCAGUGCAGUCAAAUCCACAUCCUCCUACAUUAGUAACAAUAUCCAUGCCAAUUAAGCUGAGACCCAAUCAGUGUAUAAUAAUCAAUUUUAAACAAUAGAAAUGAAAUGGAAUUUUUAACAGACUGAUCAAUUUACUCUUUUAUCUAAUGUAUAAUGAUUAAUUUACUCAUUUUUUUAAUAAAAAUAAUAAAAUAUAAUCUGACUCCUAAAAUAGAAACCUAACUUUAUUACCGAAUCACAGAAUAUAAAAUUAUUUUUUGUAUUAGUAUUGUCAUAAUAUUUAGUGGGUUAUUAAUUAAGUCAGAUUAUUUUAGUGUAAAAGAAUAGAUUUUCUCAACUAAUAAUAAUUAAGGUUAUUAUUAUUAUUAUUAAGAUUAAAGUGUAAAAAAAGUGAGUUAAUAUAUUAAAUAUAGAUAAAUUUUUCAAAGGCCCAAAGAUAAAUUUAUCAUCAUACAAGUUUAUAACCUUAUAAUUUUACUAUUUGGAGGGGCCAAGGCCCUUGCUUGCACCUUACAUUUGCCCCACAUCAUUUUACAUUUAUGGUUAUGUAUACAAGCAAAUAUUUAUAACAAGAUUGAAAUAUGCUAUAAGCUAUUGUAUUAAUUGAAAAUUUGAAAUUUAUUCACUAUACUUUUAUUUCUAAAAAUGUAGUCCCUCUGCUUUUUUAGAUUUUAAAAUUUAAGUCUAAUUGUUAAAACUGUUAAAACUAUUUUAUUAAAAUUAGGUUCAUUACAACGCCAUUUUUUUAGUUACAUUACUACGAAGUGAGUGUUUUUUUAUUUAAAAAUGUCACACCAACAAAUUUAACUAAAAAAUGAACAAUGUUAACAAUUGGACCUGAAUUUUGAAAUAUGAAUAGUAGAGUGACUAAAUUUCAAAUUUGUAAAUAGUACAAGGACUUAUAGCAUAUUUCAGCAUUAUAACAAACAUGAAAAUAACUAAAUUGCUUUUUAAUCCUGAUGUCUUUAGGAUAAAAGUUGAUACAAUAAAAGUUAGUGAUAAGUUGUAUUGUGAGACACGAAUUGGUUAUGUAGUUUGGAAUAUUUUCCUACAUUUAUGGUGCUUUUCCCGGAUAAUAGGUCGCUAUAAUUCAACAAUAUAAGUUGUGAUUUAAGCUCAACUCACUCACCGUGUUGUAGUCUUACUCUAUACAAUUAUCUAAGUUCAAUUUCCAAUUGUUUUCCUAAGAAUCAAAACAAUUUGUUUACAAUCCAGAAUGCACUAGCAAAUAAUUUCUAUUACUUUUAAUGAUUUUUUUUGGUUAAAAAUAAAAAAGUAUGAAAUAAUUAAUCUUAAAAAUAGUUUAUGUGUAGAACAGGGCAUAGUUAGGGAGCUUAGUACGGCCUCGACCUCCUUAAAAUGAUUUUCUUUUAUUUAGACUUUUUAAAAUUUUUAAAAAUUUAAAUUAGUAAAAGUAAAAUUAUACUUUUGAUCCUUUAAAAAUGAUAAAAAAACAAUUUAAUUCUUUAAAAAUUAUAAAGAUAUAAGCUAUUAAAAUAGUGAAAUUAUAUUUUACUAUCGGCAAAAUUACAAAUUAAUUUCGCUCCCUUAAACAAUUUUCUAACUUCAUCCCUGAUUACACGUUGAAUCAAAAUUAUCAAAUAACUUUAAUAUUUGUAUUUUAAUAUAAACUCUAACGGUUAGUUUAGUGGUAUUGGAUAUUUAUUCCAAAAACUAACAUCAUGAUCAGAGGUGAAUCUAGAUGGGGCUGGCAGGGGCCUCAAUAUCCCCUCCUAUUAUGGUCAUGGAAUGGAUGAAAUAAAUCAAAAAAUGAAUUUUUGUUCAAGAAUAGAAUCUUAUUGGAACUGCCCAGUUCAUUCUUCAGAACCAUAUCAUAUUCCGAAUCUGAUAAAAUAGGAUGAAUUUUUGUCUAACAAAAAGAAAAUUUGAAGAAUAUAGUAAAGGUUGACAUGGUCCAUAAAUAAAAUCCAAUUUCAUGUGGAAAGCGUGUGUCUUCCCCUGGACUUUACUUGGCUCCUUGGGUGAUCCAACUAAACAAUUUCCCAACCCAUUAUGCAUUUAUAUAAGGAAACUUACUUUAAAUUUAUCACGUUAAGGUAAGUAUAAAAUACUCUUUGAGUUGCCGAUUGAGUUUUAGUUCGACUGGUAUUGAUAUUAUUGUUAAUGCAGGUAGUGGUGGAGCCUGAAAUUUUUUGGGGGCGGAAUUAAAUUGUUUAUUUUUAUGAUAGUAAAAAAUGUAAUUUCAUCAUCUUAAUAGCUUAUAUCUUUAUAAUUUUUAAAAGGUUAAAUCAAAUUUUUAUCAUUUUUAGGAGGCCAAAGUACAAUUUUACUAUUACUAAUUUAAAAUUUUAUAAAUUAUAGAAGAUCUAAAUUUUUACCAUUUUAGAGGGGUCAUGACCCCUUGGGUUUCCACUAUGCUCCACCACUGAAUGCUGGAUGACGUGGAUUCGAGUAUACUGAAAUACAUUAUCUUUCUAUUUAAAGAUUAAAAAAAUGCUAUAAAUAACUCAAUUAACUUUCUUAGGUGCAUGCAUGUCCCAUUAUAUAAUUAAUUAUAGGACAAAAAAAGAGGAAAAGAAAGGAAUUCAAUUGCUGUCAUUCUCUCAUUUUAAGAAGAAAAGGAAGAAAAUCACAUGCAAUUUGAUCCUUUUUAUGAUUCCCAUUGGAAAUUAAGCAGAAAUUCCUGACCUAUUUAUAAAAAGUUACAUCAUCAACCUCACAAUUCAUUUAAUGUAGUCUACCUGCAAAAUCAGAAGAGAAAGUUCGUGCAAUACUUAGGAUUUUUUAAAUUUUAUAUUGGUGUAUAUUUGAUAUGUUGUUAAUAAACUUUAGUUAAUAAAUUUAAUUGUACACUAUACAUAUUUAUAUUAUAAUCUUCAUUUUAAAUUAUGUCACAUAAAGACGUUUCAUCUAAUGGUUAAAUUAACAAUUUUAGCAAUAGAAUGAUCUUAAUUACAUAACAUCGAUAAUUUAAAGAUGUAAUUAAAAUAUUUUAAAGUUUAAGAACUAAUUUAAAAUAAAGGUCAUAAUCUAAGGGUGCCUAAAGCAAUUAAACCUUUGGUUUAUAAUGGAAGUAUAUUAUCUAUUUAUAUUACAUAUUAAAGUAUUAAUUGGGUUGGUGUCACCUUAAUUAAAAAAUCAUCUCUUUUCUUUUAAAAAAUAAAAAAUAUUAUUUAAAAAUAUUUGUUAUUUUUAUAUUUUGAUAAAUUUAAAAAAAUAUAAAUAUAUUUAUUACAUAAUUUUGUUCGGAAAUUUUGUGGAAAAUGAAGUAGGAAACGUAACUGUGAUGACCGACGCAAAGGAGGAAAAUAUAGGAAGACUUAAAUGCUAAAAACUAGUGAUCCGCCGAAUCUUGACGUCCUUUGAGAUGAUUUUUCUUUUAGAUUCGGGGGGUAAUAUUUCUGGUUAAUCUUAGAAAUUAAAUUAUUUAAAUAAUUUUUAAUAUUAUUUUAUUUUAUAGACACGUAGACGUGAUGGAAGCACUUUGGUGUAGCCACGUUUACUCCUUAUCGCCUAGAAAAAUCCAUGCAUUCUUAUCUGCAUGGAUAUUCUAAAAGAUCAUAAAAUGUUCCAAUAAUUAAUAAAUUCAUACAUUAAAUUAUAUUAAGUUAUUUUUUUUGGAAAUUAAGAAAUAAAUGAUUGAUUGUAAAAUGUGUUUUAUUUUUAUGAGCGAAAAUCAAAUUCUUAACUACAUGAUUAAAAGAUGAGAUGCGUGACCAUUACAUCAUAUCUCAUGAUUAAUUAAAUUAAUUUUUUCUUUAUAUAUGGAAUCACGAAAUGAUGAGUUUAAGACUCAAUAGACAGCUCAUUUCAAUUUAUAUAGAAAUUUUUAUGAUUAAUUAUCGAAAAUAAAUGCUAGUACUAGUGAGAUUGUUAAUUCAUAUAUAUUUUUUGAAUAAAUUUUAAUUAACUUUAAAAAUAAUUACUUGAUAGAUCGGUUAUAGAAACUUUUUACAUAACGCCUGUUUUUUAGUGAAUUAUAAGAGGAAGAUAAAGUCUUAACAGUAACGCGAUUAGCACAACUCGAACUGGACUAUGUUUGGAGCGGUGAAUAUCUUAACCAUCAAACCAACACAUAAGUUUAUAUAUGACAUCUUGAUAACAAGUGGUAUGACAAUAUAAUAAAUUUUAUUCUCUUCUAUACGUAAUUUUUUUAACCUGUUUAAUAUGAUCGAUGAAUCCUAUUCAAACAAGGAUAUUGACGUGACAGAAAGUUGGAAUCACACGCUGUCAUCUAUUUAUGGGAUGUAAUGGAAAUGUCUUUAAUUUCCUUUAUGGUCACCUCGGAGUUCGGACCUAGUUAUUUUUUUGGGUUGUGCAAAUUCUAGACAUUACAAUAACUAGGAAAAUAAACAUUAAUAUAAAUUUUAGAAAGGGUACUUAGUAUCGAUAUUGUUAUCUACAUGGGAGGAUGUAUGUUCGAGCGCGAUAAAAUAUAUUUAUCAUCUCAUUUAAGAGUUGAGAAAUUAUAGAUAAUUUUAAACAUCUGUAUUAAAAAAUAUUUUUUUAUAAUUUUAAAAGUGUCAAAUUUGAUUAAACACAUUUAUUAUGAUUAGGUUUUCUAAAUGAAUAAAAUUUAAUUAAAGAUGAACCAUGGCUCUUAUUUUGUUAAAUAAUAAAAGAAUUUUACUAUUUUCAAAAGCAAAAACCUAGAAAUAAUGUAUGAAAAAUAAGAAAAAAUUUGUUGGUGAAUCAUUCCUUUAAUAGUAAGUUUUCAGCUUCUAAUAUUAUUAUUUUUCGAGUAAAUCCUUAAAGUAGGGUUUAACUUUUUAGAGGUUGUUCACAUAAGUGUUAAAUCUUUUAAAAUGUUUAAAUAAAGGCUUUUCAUGAACUUCAGCCUAAUUUGUAGAAAAAAUUAAGUAAAUGUUGAUAUAUUUGGAAUAAAAUACGUACCACCAGAAUUAGAUAUUGUUUGAAAAGAAAAGAAAGCAAUCAAUACAAAAUUUAAAACUUAAUAUACGACAUUCGUUAAGUCCUUUUUGAGCACUUUUGAAAAGGUUUGGCUCCUAUCUGAGUACUUUCAAAAUGUUAGGCCCUUAUUUGACAAUUUUGAAAUGUUUGGCCUUUAUUUGAGCACUUUUAUAAAGGUUAGGCCUAGAGGUAUUCAUGGAUCGGACCUAAGUAUGAUAUUAAAAUAUUUUAUGCUUGCUCAAGCCCGACCCGAAAAAUGAGCCUAAAAUUUUGCACAAGCUCGCCGAUAAAUGCAAAAGACUAACUCAAGCCCAUUUUAAGCCCGCCCAUAUUAUUUUUAAAAAGUUUUUAUAUUAUUUCAAUUUAAUAUUUUUUAUUUAUUGAAAUUUUUAUAUAGUUUUUGUAGUAUUAUUUUAAUGUUUACAUUAGUGUAGUAUUAUAUAUUUAAUAUAUAUUUUUAUGUGUUAUAAAUUACAUAAUAUAUAAAAAUAACGAAAUAUAAAAUAUUAUAAACUUAAAAAUAGGCUCGAUCGAGCUGAGCUCGACCCUUGAAUGUUUAAGUUCGAGCCCGACCCAUAUUUUAAACGAGCCUAAUUUAUUUUCCUAAAUCCAUUUUUCGGGCCUAAUAUUUUCGCUCUAAUCCUCCCAAAUUUUAAAUAGGCCUUUAAGCCUAGACAAGUAGCUCGACCCAUGAACAAGUCUAGUUAGACCGUCAUAUAAUCAUUUUGAAAAGCUUAAUCCUUAUGUGAGCAACUCCUAAAAGAUUGGACCCCAAUUUGAGCAUUUAGCCUACUUUUUAAAUAUUUUUUAAUCCUCCUCAACACUUAAAUAAGAGGAUAAAUGCGCUUCAACGCGUUCGAAUCCAUAUCCUCUUGCAUAGACAAUAAUAUCAAUACCAGCUGAACUAGGACUCAAUCGACUACUUUAUCAUUAUAUUAACAUCUAUAUAUAAAUUGUAAAAAUUAUUAAAUUCAUAUUAGAAUAUAAUAAAGGAGCACCAAAUAAAAGAGGAACCCUAAAUCCAAAACAUAACAGCAAAGCAAAUUAUUAUGUCAUGUGGAAAGUGGAACCUACUAGUGAGCUUCCCAUGAAUAAAACGAGAAUGAGAGGUAAUUGCCAUUUGCCAUGAUUCUCCAUCACUAUAUAAAAUAUAAUUGACUCGGUCUUUUUCCUCCCUUCCUUUAAUUAUUAUCAAUUUAAAGUAAUUUCACUCCAGACUUCUAGUUGACUUACAUAACCAAAUCUAACAAAUUUAAACUAUUAUUUCACUUAGGAGGUCCUUGGAUCAGAUCCAUUUGAUUUUUCUAUUAUUAAAAGAAAUCAAGGUCAUCAUUCUACUGCUAAAACUAAUUACAUUAAAUUAAAUUAAAAUGAAAUUAAGUUGAUAUUUUUAUAUUUUUUGGAAUUGAACUGUAAUUAAUAAUAAUUUUCUAGAUUCUUUUUAUACGGUUAAUGUUAGGCAUACUGACUUAUUUGGCCUUCUAACUUUAUAAAUAAAAGUCAUUUUAGUAUUCCAUUUAAUUUUCACGUCUUCUAGCCUCUAAACAUGUGUUGUUUGUCAAAUCACCCAAAAAUAGAAAGAAAAGUUAACGUUUGUUAACUUUGCUGACGUGAAAUCCUAUGGCAGUUCAUGUGUACACGGCGUUGGUAAUUAAUUAUUUUUUAAAAAAAUUUAAAAAUUAUAAUUUUUUGAAUUUUUAUUAAAAUUUUAAAAUUUAAUUAAUUGCUAACUUGACAUACAUGUGACAAUUCACAUGUACGCAACGUCAACAAAGUUAACAAAACUUUUUUCAUUCAUUUUGGGGUUAUUUAAAAAAAACACAAAUUCAAGGAUUAAAAAGACUAGAAAAUUAAAUAGAGGACUAAAAUGAUUUUUUUUAUAAAAUUAGAAGGUCAAAUAAAUCAUUAUCCCUAAAUGUUAUAAUUUGGAAUUAUUUGAUUUGUUUUAAUAAUAUACCUACUAAUUUAAUCCAAUCAAGUACUCACCAGUUGCUUUAACCUUACUCAUCGUUUAAAUUUCUCAGCAUCCAUUAUUCUACCACGAAGUUGCACUCUUAACUUAAUAAUACCUUCUCUUCUCCUUCUUCUUCAACCCCUAAAUUUCCUGCAUAUUUUCACUCUUUAUAUUCCAUAUGAUAUCUGCUAUAAAUUCAAACCCCAUAUCUGCAUCUUUGCCUUGUUCUUUCCUUUGUAUUGGAUUCGAAUAUGUUGGAUAACAAUCAACAACAGUUCACAUUAGAGAUCACAGUGGUAUCAGCUCAAGGGCUGAAGAGCACUUCUUCUUUUAUCUUCACACACCGUCUCAGGCCUUUCAUUACCAUCACCACCUUCCCUCCGCCGUUAGAAGCUGCCGAUUUAAAGAGCUGCCGUGGGUUUCAAACGAGGGUCGAUGACCAAGGUGGUGUUAACCCUACUUGGGGUGAUAAGUUCCAUGUUCCCAUUCAUCAUACCUUCUUUGCUAAUCCAUACUCGUGUAUAUAUCUCCAGUUAUUCACCAAAAGGCUCAUUUCCGGCAAGGCUCAACUGGGUUGGUGCCAGAUUCCGGCCGCCGAUAUAGGGUUGCCGCCCGUGGGAUCCGUUAGGCAACUGAGUUACCGGCUGAGGGAGGCAGAUGGGACGAGGACUCAUGGAGUUGUCAACGUUGCGGUGAAGUUGGAAGUCCAUUCUAAUGACAGGUGUCGGACUGUGAUUGGUGUACCGGUUAGGGUUAUGCCGCUUGGCAGGGAAGUGGGGUCUAGCUGGAAAGAGUCUGAGGAUUUGACAAGUGGAGGAACUGUGGGGACCGGAGGUGACUGUGCCGAUGCGGUGGUGAAAUGGCAGGGUUUACGAUGAGAACGAUUGUACUGUAUGGAUAAUGUUGUGGAAAUUAAUUGUUUUUGAAGGAUGUAAACCUUUUAAAGACUUCAAUCAUUUUUGUUUAUUAAUAUUAUAUAUAAAUUAUUUAAUUAAGGGUUAUUAACCGAAGUUUAAAGUAUAACGUAUACCUCAAAUAAAAAAUUAUGUGGCUUAUAACCCCUUUUAGGGUUUAAUACAUAUAACUUAAGCUAUGCUAAUAUUGAUCAUGUUCAAUUUUGAUAGUAAACACGUAACAAUUGUUCGCUUUUUACAUCGAAAUCAUUCUUGAGAAAUUAUUGGAUUAUCACAUGAGCUUACAUAAAAAAAAUGUAUUAAAGAGAUUUAACAUGCAUGAUUGUAAAUCAGGUGAUACUAAGUGAGGCAAAUUCAGUCUUAGUCAAUGUCUCAAAAAUGGUGUUAAAAUUAAAGAAAUGCAAAUAAAUUUCUUAUACUUCAACAAUAGGGUGUCUAAUAUAGGUUUGUAUGCAUUUGAAUAUUAUAUACAUUGUUGAGAUUAUGGAUUAUUGGAAGGAAUUCAAAUGAUUCAUAAGUAUAAGCCAAAAUAAUACCUGUUCCCAUAUAGGAGAUUUGAUAAGUUAGAGAUCUUUGACUAUACAAACUACAAUUUUGUUGGAAUAUGAAUGCAAAAUUUCGCCACUACAUUGGGAAUUGUGAAUGAAACAAAAGACCACUUAAGUUAUGUUUUAACCAUAAAUCUGCAGUCCUUAUUCCGAUAGCAACAUGAACACAUCAAAGUCGAAGCUUAUAGAUAUUAAAUUCCUAGUUGUUAAAAAAAGAGUUCAAAAUGGUCGGAUACUUAUAGAGCAUAUUGAUAUAGGCUCCAUGAUUGCAAACCUACUUACUAAGGACAACCACCUAAGGUUUUCAUGAGCACACUACUCAUAUGAGUCUCAUGUCAUUUGAAGAUAUUAAGUUUUAGUAGAAGUUUGUAAUUUCAAAUGAUCUUAUGUUAUAAACACAUUUUUUGUUAUUUCAAUUUACGAACAUUUUAAGAUUAUUGUCAGCAGAAAUAAAGUUUAGUUUGGUUUAUUCUCGCUAGUUUUGAUAUGAUUUGAUCUCACUAUGGUUUUAGGAAGACUAAUUGGAAUAUAUAUAUAUUUAGAUCAUAUUGCAUAAUAUAAUUUUCAUUCUACACACAUUCAUGCUUGAUCUAUGUCAUUUGGUUGGGUUAAUAUACAUAAUCAGGGAGGAUUUAGCUACGUUCUAUGUAGAAAGUCGCAUUGGGUUCUAUGUUAACAUAAUUGAUGGAGAAGAUUGUUUAAAAUACAUUUUGAUUAAGAUAGUAAAGGUUUGAGUUCAGAAGGUUAUAUUAUGACAUGUAGUUAUAAGGUAAUAAGAAUAUAUAUGUGAUCUAAGUGGGAGAUUAUUGGAUAAUAUGAACAUCACAUAUAUAAUAAGAAUAAUUACAUAUUGUUAUUCACUAUUUAGUCCAAAUUAAAAGUGAUUUAGUAUGGUUAGGGUUAAUAGGCCUUCAAUUAUCAAAUAACGUAUAAACUAAAUAUGCAUAAAUACUCAAGUAACUAAUUGCCAAUUGACUAACUAAUUUCUAAUUGACGAUGGACUAAUUAGAAACUAAUGUUAAAGUGUAAAAGUUAUAUAUUAGGAUUAUAGUUAUCAAAUUACGCAUAAUGCAACUUUUUUUAGCAUUGUAUAUAUCUUCAGAAAAGAGUCAUAUUCUCUAAGAUACUUAUGAAUCACAAGGCUAAAAAUGAUUAAUAAAUUUAGAUAAACUUGUACAUCUAAUUUAUGUUCUUAAUGAUCUAACAGGACAUAUUUAAAGAACUCUUGUCGACUUUUUAAGAUGAAUUUUAAUAAAAUUCCAAACAUAUAAAAUUUUAUCUUGUGAUUGAGUUUGAAGUUUAUGUUUGUUGGAAAAGGAGAUUCAUUUGCAUCAUUCAUGCAUUUAUUCUGAAAAUUAUUACAAUAAUAAUAUGAACCCAUGAUUUUAGGAACACUAGGAGGAAUUUUCUCUCUAUUCCACUUCUAAGUAAAAAAAUAAAUAAACAAAACAAAAGAAAUUGUACAGUUCCUUUUUCGACACUUCUCCAUCACUUUCCGACAACACAUGUUUUUCCACAAACAAAACUAGGUGCAUAGUGUAAUCUGACAGUUGCAAAUUUGUUUAUAGAAGUUAGUUGGUAUGUAUUUAUCAAAAUCAACAUGUUUGUAUAAUGAUAAGAUAUAUUAUUGAGAGAGACAACUACAAGCCUCAAAUAUAAAUUAUAAAACGGAUAUGAAAAGUAUCAAAAAUAAAAUACGUGAUUAUAAAAUUAGUUAGAAUCUCAAUAUGUAUACAUAGUUUUUUUCUUUGGGAUAAAUCCUAAAACUGUACAUGAACUAUGGUUAAUGUGAAAUUAUAUACAUGAACUUUGAUUUUAUGCAAUUUUUUGAUUUGAUUUGAUCCAAUUCUUGUAAAUUAUUAACACAAUUAUUGAUAUAACAUCAUUUUAUAUUUAUAUACUGCAUACAUAAAUAAUUAUAUUUAUCUAAUAUAAAAAUAAAUUGAUGUACCUAUUUCUUUUAAUGUAUAUGAUUAAAUAAAAUUAAAAUUUCAAAUAUACAUCUGAACCACAAUUAGAGUUUCACGUGUAUAAUUGCACCAAAUUAAAAUUCAUGCAUACAAUUACAUAUUAAAUUAAAAUUAAUGUAUAAUUUUAAAAUUUAUCCCGUUUUUUACUUUAUUUUAAGUUGCAGCAAUUAUAAAAAUUAACUAAAUUGGAUAAUUAAGAUUGGUGAUAAAUUUACCAAAACAAACUUAAAAGGAAAAAGAAAAGAGAGAGAGAGAAGACUUGAACCAAAAGUAUGUAAGUCAAUUCAUAAUUAAUUGAACCAUAAUGUUAAAAAGUGAUUGAGGGUAAUUUGCUAGCUAUAUAUUUAAUGUUGUGUUGAAUGGUGGAGUGACAUGGAUUAAUCACCAACAGUUUAUUAUAAUUUUUAGGGUUAUGAUAGGAUAGAAGACAACCAGUUAGACACAAUGAAAUGAAACCAUAUCUUAUAUUAUAAUGUAAAUACAAACACCAUUGCUUGGACCCUAUAUAUGUAUAUUUUAUAUAUACAUAUGUCAUGGUAAGGUUUAUAUUUAUAUAUCAUGAUUAUUCGAUGAAAGUGUUAGGGUAGAAAAUUUGGGUACGAUGGGAUUAUAAGUUUGCUAGGAAUUGAAGCUGCAUAGUGAGUUCACGAAAACAUUAUUAUAUAUAUUACUUGUAAAUUUAUAUAUUCAUUAAUUAGUUUAUAGUCAAAUUUCAAUGCUCAAACUUAGUUUAACCAGAAUAAUAGUUUUUUUUUUAUAUAAUAAAUAUACAUAUAUAUUUAAUUACAAUAAUUAUAGUUUUAUUUUAACCAUGUCUAUUAAAUUAGAAAUAUUUUAAACUAUUUUACCAGUCACUCUUUUCUCAAUCUUCGCGCCAUUUUGCUAUGUAAUUAGCAAUAUUUGCAUUUUUUUUUAUGUUGCUACAUAUUUGCAUGUUUUUUAAUUGAUUAGACUAAAAUCUAGCAAUGUUUUUAUAUGCUGGGAAGUUUAUGCAGUUGUUUCGUGCAAGUUCACUGUGCAGAUGAGCGUGUGGUAUGCUGAUGCAGAUACAAGUAGAGUUAAAAAGCAUUCAAGAUGGGCAAUUGCCAAUAUCAAAUUCUAUCUCGGUAAGUUUUAGAGCGUAUUAAACAAUGGAGGUUAAAGCAUGAAAGAUUUAUUAACUAAAAUGGCAUCAGACAAAAAUGAAGAUGUUCAUGUUUUCGACAAAGCUCCCGGGAAGCUCAUAGCUAAUUUUAAAAGUCUGACUUAACAAAUUGAUUUGGUUUUCAUAGUAUUUGAUGUAAUUGUUUGUUUAUAUUUUCACACACACAAAAAAAUAGCCUAAGUUUCAUUUGAUUUGAAUUUAAUCAAAUAUACGAAAGACCUAGGCUAACAAUGCAUUAAUUUGUUAGUAAAAUUAAGACUUCGAGAUCUAAAUGUUCAAGGUUUGAGUCUCGUCAAUACAUAAAUAUCAUUGAAGGUUUUUCAUAGAUUAUUUUGAGUGUAAGUAUCAUUAUAUGUAAGCCCCAUCCAAAUUUAUUUCAGUUUAAAGUUUGAAUAUAUUUCAAUUUUCAGUCAUAAUAUAUGAACGAAAAUUAACAAAAUAAACAUUACCCAGAUUUGAAAGAUUGAAUUUGGAUUGAUAUAAAAUUAUUAAAAUUUUAUUUUAAUUUAACUAAAACUUAAUCUAAUUUGAUCUAUGAAUAAAUCUAACAUACAGAUUUAGUAAUUUUAAAAUUAAUGAGAAAAAAAAGUCAUACACUUGGAUGCCAAAAGAGAAAAAAAAAUCAUUUCGUCAAAAAAGUUAUUUUAGCAUAUGAUUUAGUAAAACCAUGUGCUAUUAUUUUAUCUUAUGAUUUGGUGACUUUAUGCACCAACAAGCAACCAUAUAUCAUAUGGCCAUUUUAGUCAACAUUAAUAUGACUUGUAUGAUAUUUACAGAAGAUUUGUUGGUCUUUUUCUAUUAGUCACCAUGUGCUCUAGCCGUCGGAAUCUACCAAACAAUGUUGAUGCAUGUUGUUAGUGGAAAUUGCCUCGAAUGCCAGUAUUAAAUGAAAGAAAAUUAAUUCCAAACCAUUCCCUUCAAUGUUAUACCUUGUGGGUUAUAUUAUAUUAUAUUAUAUAGUUGGAAGACUUUUUUUUGCUGAUUUUUGGUCAUGUAUGUUUAGUUGCAUGUCACAUUGCAUAUGUAGCUUUAGUUGGAUUCAGUUUGCUACUUUGAGUGGGGUUCUAAUUUGAAACCACUUGAAGUAGUACUCAUUUGUUUUAAAAAAAGAGUUAAAAGGAGUAAAAUCAUAAGCCUCUUGAAUUAAUUGGAGAAUUCUUCUACACUUGGAACGAUAGGUAAGGAGAAAUGAUAAAAAAAAAAGUUUGAACCAAAAUUAGUCAUAGUUUUUUAGUACUUUGUAUUGGUUUCUUUAGCAUGGAAAUGGUGAUAUUGUUGUGUGGUAUAUUUACUUUGAUGUCUCAAGUUUUUGAUAUAUUAAUAUUUACAAUAGGUUUUAAUUGUUUAUUUCUUAAGUCAUUUAGUAACCAAACAUUUUAAAAGACUUGCAAAUACCCAACUUAACAUGUCCUAAAUGUGCUCCUUACUUGAUCAAAUGUUAUUGUGUUGUACUUGAAGUAUUUUCAAGUGUUUUUAAUGUUUACAAGGCAAUUUAGGAAUCAAGACUCAAGACUAGGGGUCUAUGUCUCGAGACCUUGCAAGUCAGUAGCCAAAGAACGCCACUGGAAAGGUAUCGAUACUUGACCUCCAAGUUCGAGACUUGACUUCUAAGUAUUGAAACUUAGCUUUCUAACAACUAUACACAACUACUUUUUAGUGAGGAUAAAGUGGUGUACUCAAUCAUGCAAUGGACAAUAUAUCUCAUGAAGCAUACUUUGCAUGAUCUUGAUUUGCAUAUAAAUAUGUAAACAAAAUAAGCACAAGUCAAAUCAAUGUAAAUAAUAUAAGCAUGUUGAAAUUCACGUGAUGUAAUCGUACUUUUAAAUCUUAGGUUUGUUCAACUUUUCAUUAAUGAGAAAGAUGCAUGUUGACAUCUCAUUGUGGUGAAAUCACAUAUUAAUGAUGGGUUUUGCCACGCAUCCUGCGCCGAUUGGCUAUUAGUUUUCAUGUAUUUUGAAGCUUAUCCAUGAUGUUUCAUUCUAGUGAAAACCAUGAGGAAGUGUUACUAAAUUCACUAGCAAUUGCCUUACACAUGAAAGAUUCAUGCUAGAAUGACGAAGUUUAGAUUUGGGAAAGUUUUCUUCAUCCUUUUAUUUUAUUAUUCUAGUUUUUUUUCUCUAGAUUGCUUGAAUUUGCUAUUUUACAUUUCUCUAAUGUUACUAUAUCAUUCAGAGUUUACAAGGUUCUUUGUGAUUGGUUUUUUUUUUUGUAGUUUUAAAGUUCUUUGUAAAAUUUGGUUGAGAUGAUGGUCAGUAGAGGUAGAGGAAGGGGACAAAGGUAAGAGAAAGAUAAAAAGAAAUAGGCAAGUAGCACUUUUAGAGAGUUUGAUAGUAGGAUAGAGGGUAACUUUUGAGAGUACACAAUGAAAAUGGAGAUAAGGAAAAUGUUUAUGCUGAGGGAAAUCCAGUUGACCUAUUAUUGUUAUGAAUUUUUUAUGCUAGAAGGUACUUACAAAAUGAGUGAAAUGGUGAAGAAUAAAAAGGCGUUUUAUCUAACGUGUACAUGUUUGAGGUGGGGUUCCAUUUACCCCUACGUUUGUGGCUUCUAUCUUAGCAUCAAACUUUUUUGGCAUUAGUUUUUGCCGUCAAUGGGGCAUAGCCUCUAUCAUUGGCAUUAGACUUGGGCAUCAAGGUCUUAUAGAAUCGAGGGCCUUAAGAGGUUAGUUUAGUUUUUUAGGAUGCCUAAAGAGGCAAAGCUGCAAGAAUAGGGGUUAACGUCAAGUAGAAGUCAAUACAUUUUUUUAUUGCUGAUCAAGUACCUUAUGUUACCAUAUUGACGAGGACUUUAGUAGGUUGGCUAGCGAAGUGACUAUCAACAAGGUUCUUUUUAGCUUUUGUGUAUCUUUGUCCUUCAAUAAUCCUACAAAGCUUUCUCGAGAAAUAUAAAGGCUUUGUUCAUUGGAUAGCAACAAAAAUGCAUAUUUGAGCAUGAUAUUAUAUUUAUCAUGGUAAACCUAAAUCACAAGCUUUUGCUGUCUAGUCUUCGAGGGUAAAUAUUGAAUGGACUAUAAUUUCUUUAGAUAUGCUAGUGUUAUUGCUUAUUAUUUCUCUCAUGAGCCCUAUUUCCUAUUGUUUUGGCUUUACAAUGUUGUUGCGAGGUUUUAGUUUCAUUUUUUCUUGUUUCUAGGUCUAUUGUUUAGCAUACUACCUAAGAUUUCCUUGUCUUAUAGCCAUUUUGAUUGUAUUUUUCAAAUAGAGGUAGUCUUCUUUUACGUGUCUAAAAUCCCCGUGAAUUUGGCAUUUCAACGAAGAUUGUCUCUUUUAAAUGUUUGACUAUUUUGAAGGUGGCAGGGCCCAAUGAUUUCCUCAUUUUCCAUAUUGCUUAAAAUGUAAGCCCAUGAGACAUUGAGAGGAGUAUAAUUAUCAAAUUUAGUACAAAGGAUCCAUUCUUAUCUUCUUGACUGUAGGGUGUUUUGGUGAGCCCUGUCAGUUUUGUUCUUGCAUAGCUGAAGGGGUUGUAGAAGUUUUUGCCCCCUCAAUUUGAGGUUCCCUUGAUGUGUGAACUAAAGUUCCUCCUUUAGCUUUGUCAUUGUUUGGGGCGAAUUGUCUAAGGCUAAUAUUCUUCAUGUUAGGGAUAGACCUAUUUUUAUUCUUGGAGUUGAAUUAGAAAAAAAAAAUCCAUUUUGGGUUCCUAGUUCUAAGUAUUGCUUGAAGGUUGGUAUAGAGUCUGGUGGCAUCACUCGAUUUUUUGGUAUGAAAUUUUGAAAGCAAGCCUUUGAAGGUUGGGUGAUAACAAUAGAUAAUUUUCGUAAGUAGUUUGAGUUUGUAGGUGCAGAUGUAUGUGAUCUUAAUGCAUGGGAUAUUGAGGGUAAGGAUAAUACAAAUUAUUAUAGUCAAAUUUGCAUUUUUAACCAUAAAAAUUGUAGGGAGGCCUAACCUAAUAAAUUUGGCUCAAUAGUUCAUGUUGAUUGGUCACUUUGGAUGGCAUUGGAAGAGCAACUAUAUGGUGCUCUUGCUAAAUAUUCUCUGGGUUUUCUAGGUUUUGAAUGUUGCGUUUACUUCUGUUAGGAAAAGCUAUACCUUCUUGUUUAAUUUUCCACAGACUGCUAAUUAUAGAUACAAGGUUUAUAAAUGAUGACUAGAGGCAAUUCACACAAAAUGUCAAGAGAUUUUAGUGGUGAUUUUGUGAGUUUAAGAACUUUGAAAAAGUUCAAACUGGGUAUUGUUGUGUAAGUGUAACAACCCAGUUUAGACCCUAGUCGGAUAGUGAUUUCUAGACCACGAAUUCGAGUCAAAAAAUAUUUUAAAAUUAUUUUUGGUAUUUAUAGUAUGUGAAUUAAUAUGUGUGAAAGUUUUGUGUGAAAAUUUUAUCGUUUGUGUGCUCGAUUUUAUAAAAAAAGGAUUUAAUCGCGAAAAAUAUAAAAGCUAUGGUUUAAUUGAUUAUGUGCAAAAUUGAUGUGUUCUUUUAAUGUGGAGUCCUUAUGUGAUAUUUUAACCAUUGAAAUUAUGCAUGGACGGUAAUGAGCUUAUAUUAUAAGGUUUUAUCAUUAAAAUCCUUAAGGUUAGCUUUGUAAAUUAGUUAAAUAUGUUAAUAUAAUAAAACACAAACUAAAAACCAUGCAUUAUGUUCAUCAUCUUUGCCAAAACUUCAAAGGAAAAAGAAAGAAAAUAAGCUAGCUACAUUCGGCCUUGGUCCAAGCUUGAUUCAAGGUUCGUUUUUGCUCGAUUUUUUAUAAUUUUUACGUUUUUUAGAUCGUUGCUUCGUGUUUUAGCUAGCCCAUACUUUAAUUUUUUGAAUGGAUGAUGAAUUUGAGAUUUGUCAUUGUUGAUAGCUUGAUGAUUUUUGUGUUUGAUGAUGAAAAAUAAAUAUAUGUUGUUAGAUUGUCAAGUUUAAUUAAGUGAUUUUUAGUAAAAAUGCCUAUUUAGGAUUAAAUUGUGAAUUCCAUAAAUUUAAAGGUCAAAAUGUGAAAUAAAUGAAAGAAAUGGGCUACUAGGGACCUUAGUGAAAUUUGGCCAAGCUUGGGUGUGGUGAAAUUUUGAAUAUUUUGUGUUUUGUAAAAUGAGGACUAAUUUGUGAAAAAUGUGAAAUGUUAGCGGCUAAAGUGAAAAUUGCCCUUUUAUGUUUUUUUAGUACAUAUGUGAUUAAAUAAGUUUAAUUUAUAUUAAUUUAGAUCAAGAAAAGAGGAAAUCGGAUUUGGAUCGGGAGAAAACUAAAGUUGUUGAAUAGUCGUCCCGGCCCAUUCGUCUUCGUCCGAGGUAAGUUCAUAAGUUAAUAAUUGUUGUUAAAUUUAUAUGAAAAUGUAUUUAAUUACACUGAAUUGAAUUUUAGUAACUUUAUAUGUGUGUGCCGAAUUGAUAUAAGUAUGGGGGAAGUAACUACGACCUUGAAUCGAUCGAAUUACGACGUCCGAAAGUCCUGUACAAACCUUAGGAAUAGUUAGGAUACAUAUGCCAUGACAUAGGAUUCCAAUAUGUGAUUUCGUUUAAGACGACGUCUGGGACGUUGGCAUCAUUUUGAGAUUUACGUGUAAGACCAUGUUUGGGACAUUAGCAUCGUAUAUGAUUUCGUGUAAGACCCUGUCUGAGACAGUGUCAUCGAUAUUUGAUUUCAUGUAAGACCACGUCUGGGACGUUGGCAUUGUACGAUCUUUUCGAGCUAUCUAAGUUUAUUAAUUUCGAAUGGUUCAAUGGGCAAUGUUAAGUUAAGAUCGAAUAUGAAAUCGAGCUAAAUGGUUCAGGUACGUGCGAAGUGAAAUAUUCAUGAAAAUAAGGUAAGUUUAGUACUUGAAAUAAUGAUAUAAUUUAUUCAUGUUAUAAAAGGUGAUUUAUAUGUACAUGUGAUUAUUCAUAUUCGGCCAAGUGAUAUUAUAAUGCUAAUGUUCAUAUGAUGAUAUAUUUGCUUAUGACUUACUAUGCUUUCUAAGCUUACUUUGUGUGUUCAUUCGGUGUUUUAUAUAUUUUGGAAGCUAGUUACGAGCUCGGGGAUCGUCAAGGAAAUCCGUCACAUUGUCGAACGCUAUUUUUGUAUUUUAAAAGCUUGAACUAUGAACUUAUGGCAUGUAUAGGCUAGAAUUUGUUUUGGUUGGAUUUGAAAGUGUAUACAUGUAUAAGCUAGUCUUAUUGUGUUUGAGUUUGAAAUUGUAUAUAUAUAAGCCAUGCGAAAAUGGCUUGAUCAUUAUGCUUGAGUCUGAUUAUAUUUGAUUAUGGUUUAAGCUUAUUAUGGUAAGUAUGUUUCAUAACUUGCAUGAAUGGUAAUUUGGUUGUAUGAUUUGUUAGUAUAUGUCAUGAAUGCCUUGUAAUAUCUCAUCAAGUAUACUUGUUACAUGGUUAGAUUUGCAUUUAUGGUUAGUUUAUAAUUCGGCUUUAAAUGAGGUAAAAUGAUGAAUUUAUAUUUGAUUGUAUAUUGGUUAACUUAGAUUCAGUUUGGAAAUAAAAGAGUAUGCAUACAUAUUAUGCUUGAAUGAGUGAGACUUUAGGUACGGAUCAAGUUAGGAAUGGUACGAAUUUUUGAAGGUUAAGUUUGAUGAUUGCAAAUAGAGUUAUUUGAUUUGGUUUUGCAUAUGAAAAUGAAACAUGAUUGAUGUUUAUUAUAGGAAUGGAAAGGCUAUAAUAUUUAAUUCAAUAUCUUUGGCUAAUAGAACUAUAAAGUAUAUGUAAAGUGAUAUGUUUAGUAUGUGUGUUUGGAAAUGGCUCAAUUGAUGUAUACAUAUACGCACAAACUUGUAAUGAGUAAAUAGGUAUGUUUUGGUAUUAUAAAUUGAUGUAUAGUUGUCUUAGAAAUAGGUUUAGAGUUAGUAAAUGAUGCACAUGCAAAAUUGACUAAAGUUAGGUAAAUUGAAUGUAUAUAUAUGCACUUAUGUCAUGGUUUCUAAUGUUUGGAUUGUUGGCUAAUAUUAGUUAAAUGAGUUGUGCAUGAAUUAGGUAUAGUUUUUAUAUGGUAAUUACUAGCCGAUUAGAGGAUAGAAUAAAUGACAAUGAGUGCACAUAAUUUUGCUUGAAUGGUUAAAUUCGAUGUGGUUAAAUGCCCAUAAUAUUUUUAUAUGUUUAAUGAAAUAUAUUUGACCAUAUUAUGGUGUUGUUAAUGCCGCAUUUGCUAACGGACAUUAAGCCAUGUAUAAGCAUGUAUUGAAUUAUGAAGUAAAGUGUUUAACUUAUGUUAGGUGUUUGAAUAUUAUUAAGGUAAUGUGCUUAUGAUUUAAGUUAUGUAUUUGUAAAGUAGGUAUACUUAUGGUAUAACUUUGAGGCAUAUUUAUUUGUUUGAAAAUAUGUUUACAUACAUGGUACGGAUUCGGUUAAAUUUUGAGGUAUCAUUCUUAUGUAAUAUGAGUAAUAACGUAUGUUUUAAUAUUUAAUUAGUCAUAUGCUUUAAUUAUAUGAUUACGAUUUGUGUGAAUGUUCGGAUCUGUACUUAUGUUCAGUAAUGCCUCGUGACCCUAAUCCGGCUACAGAUACGGGUUAGAGGUGUUAUAGUAAGGGAGGCCUAGAAUUCGUUUUUGUUAAUGAAUGGCUUAUACAAGCGAUGAACUUGGUGUGGGGCCUACUAAAGAACUUCCUUAUUGCAUAAGGUUGGUGGUAGAGUCAUGGAGUGCCUUACUAGGAUGUGAUGGGAUGUGAUUCGACACACAAAAAAGGGAAAAGAAGCAGAAGCAAGCAAUCAAAAAGUAUAUAUUGUAAUAUUUUUUCGGUUAUAAAAACUGAUUUUUUUACACACAAAUGUAAUAAAAAAAACAGAAUACAAAACUUCAAAAGGUGAUUUUACUUUAUUUUUUUGCGAAUCCUUUUUUAUAUAUAAAAAAACAUAAAUAAAAAGUAAAGGUUGAAAACCUACCUGAAUCUUCGUAGUCUACCGCCAUGAGUGGCCGAGAUCCGUCAUAUCCGAUUAAAGAUGACUUCUUUCAGCAGAAAGGGCAAAAGUCGAUUUUGUUUUUUUAAUUAUUUUAGGCGUUUGCCUUUGGAUUUAGAAUCUAAGUUUUUUUUUUAAAAAAAGGCAAAAAAGGAGGCUUUGAGAGGAAAAAUGAGAGAGUUGAGGGGUUUUUUUUUAAAAAAAAGAAAAAAUGAUUUUUUUCUAAGUUUUUUACUUAUAUAACCCAUGCAAAAUGGCUUUGUUUUGGGAUUUAAUUUCAGAUGCCAAAACGGCGUCGUUUUGACGCAACCCAUCGCUCGACCCGAUCUAUCCCCUAGGAUUCGCGUGUUUUCGCCUAUAGGGGAUAUUUAUGCUUUUGAUCCUUCCGCUUUUUAAUGACAUUUCAAUCUAGUCCUAUUUCUUUUUCUCUUUUAAUCAUGUUCACGCCCAUUCUGAUGACAUAUAGGUGGUUAUAUCAGAACUUGUUCGAUGCACAUGUGGUAUCCCCGUUUUACUUAAAGCUCAUGCAACCUCUAUUCUCAAAAUGGUACGAUGCGAAUGCUCAAUGAGAGUACCAUGUAGGAAUAACGAGACACUCAAUUGAGAACUGCACCGCAUUUAAGAAGCUGAUUGAAAGGCUCAUUAAGAUGGGGAUCGUAAGGUUCGAUGAUCCAUUGAGACCUAAUGUGGUUGGAAAUCUGUUACCUAGUUAUUCAGACCAAGGGGUAAACACGAUAAUUGAGAAUUGAGGGAAGAGGACCAAAAUCGAUGUUGCGGAGGUGAAAUCCCCAUUAAAAUGGGUCUGACAAAAAAUGAUAAAUAGAGGAUUAAUCAUGUGAGAUUCAAAGGAAAGACCCAAAGGAGCUUGGAAUUAUUGUGAGUUCCACGCUAAAGAAGGUCAUGAAAUCUAAGAAUGCGUUGAGUUUAGGGCCCUAGUGCAAAAUUUGAUUGAUAACAAAGAAAUUGAAUUUUAUGAAGAUGUCAAGGGCUUAGAAGAAGAAGAUGUGUGCACCUCAGAAAAAGGGUCGACGGAGAAGGUCUAUAAGGUCAACCACCCAGUGGUGAUUAUUUUACGGCCGAUAAAUUAUGAAGCAGGGACACAAGUUACACCGAGAGUCAUCAUUCAGAAAGCCGUGGCUUUUUCCUAUAAAGAUAGCAAAAGGCUUCCAUGGAAUUAUGACUGCAACGUGAUGAUCCCGGGAGAGGAGAACUCGGUUAGCACUUCAGAGAAGGGACAGGAUAUGGGUUUCUACACGCGCAAUGGGAGGUGCUAUGAUCUUGCAAAUAUAAUAACCGAGCUUGUUAAAGGAAAAGCUUUGGCGGUCGAACAUAAGAAAGAAAAAAUGACUAGACUUGAAUCACCUGUUUAUGAGCCGAUACCUGAGAAAGAGGCAAAGAAAUUCUUGAAAUUCUUAAAGUAUAGCGAGUAUAGUGUUGUAAAAUAGCUAUACAAACAACCAGUUCGCAUAUCAGUACUAGCUUUGCUCUUAAGCUCAGAGACAUAUCGUAGUGCGUUGAUGAAAGUGUUAAAUGAAACUUAUGUCACUGAUGAUAUCUCUGUAAACAAGCUAGAAUGUCUGGUUAAUAAUAUAAGUGCUGACAAUUUCAUCUUUUUUAAUGAUGAUGAAAUACUGCUAGGGGUGUUGAUUGACAAUGGAUCUGUGCUGAACGUCUUGCCUCUAACCAUACUGAGCAGAUUACCAGUAGAUAGCUCUCACAUGAAGACGUACCAAAACAUAGUGAAAGCAUUCGAUGGUACAGAAAAAAAAGUGAUGGGAAUGAUUGAGAUACCUCUUUUAAUUGGUCCAAACACAUAUGAGGUAGACUUCUUAGUGAUGGAUAUCAAGCCCUCUUAUAAUUACUUGUUGGGGAGGCCUUGAAUUCACUCAGCUGGUGCAGUGCCGUCAUCACUAUACCAAAAGCUAAAGUUGGUGACAGAGGGUCGACUGGUGAUGAUAAACACGGAAGAAGAUAUUAUUGCAUUUGUAACCAGUGGCGCACCAUACAUAUGAGCGGAGCAUGAGGCAGUAGAAUGUUCCUUUCGAUCGCUGGAAUUUGUGAAUGCAAUUUUCAUUGUUGAAGGGAACAAAAUCUCAAUGCCCAAAAUAUCCAAAACUAUAAGGAUGGGUUUACAACUAAUGGUUGGGAAAUAACUCGAAAAAUACCUACAAGAAAGGGUUGAUGCACCAAUUCUGAUAGACAAACAAGAUCGCUUUGGCCUAGAAUACAAGCCAAAUGCGAGGCAAAAGAAAAAAGAGCUAGAGAAGAAGCAAGAAAUGAGAAGAGCGCGACUGAGUCGAGAAAAGAAACUGCGGAAGAAAUGCUGGAAAACCUGAGCAUCAACACCAUAUCUGAAAAAUGAAUUGAGGAAGAGAAUUUAUCAGACAUUUCCCCUUACAUACCUGGAAGUGUUUUGAACAAUUGGACUGCGGAAGAGAUUCCUGUAAUUUUUAGAGCUAAUUCAGAGUAAUAUUCAAAACACACUUAUUGCUCUAAGCCUCGGAGCAAUAAAAAUCUUUUUGUGAAAAAGGCAUAUGUCCAAUAUUUUUAUUUUAAUAAAACAUACAUUUGUGUCUCAUUUUGGCAAAUAUUAUUUUAUUUCUUCCAUUUCAUUCAUACUCAUUCCACACAAAUGAUUAUUCUUAAAUUCAUUUAUUAUUUGGGUCUUCAUUCGUUCCUAUAACAGGUUUCCAGAUAUCAAUGAUAUGAGCGACGCUGUCACUGAUUUAGGGCCUCCUUUUGAGCAAGAUAUGUGUCUAUAGGAACCUCAAGACUUUGAAGAUAAUCUAAAUUGUAACCUAUCUGCUAAUUUGUUAAGGAUGGUAGAAUAAGAUGAAAAACAAAUCCUACCUUACAAAGAGUUAAUAUAAAUUGUGAGCUUAGGAGAAAAGACAAAGCGAGACCUCAUAAAGGAAGAGUGCAUGAUCGUAGAGAUAAAAAUUAGAGCUUUCAUCACCGCAGAGAUAAAGCAAGACAUCAUUGAGUUACUCUAAGAAUUCAAAAAUGUCUUCGUAUGGUCGUAUCAAGAUAUGUCAGGGAUAAGUACUGAUAUCGUGGUACACCGGCUCCCCAUAAAGGAGGAGUGCAAGCUAGUUCAACAAAAGCUCUGAAGGAUGAGGCUCGACGUCUUGCUAAAAACAAAAGAAGAGGUCAAGAAACAAUUCGACGAUGGUUUCUUACAAGUGGUUAAAUUCUUAGAAUGGGUAGCCAAUAUUAUCCCCAUCCCUAAAAAAGAUGGAAAAGUAUGAAUGUGUGUAGACUACAGGGAUUUAAACAAAGCCAGCCCGAAAGAUAAUUUCUGGCUGCCUCACAUCGACACCUUAGUGGACAACACGACAGGUUAUUCACUUUUUUCCUUUAUGGACGGCUUCUUCAGAUACAACCAGAUCAAGAUUUAUCCUGAAGAUAUGGAAAAAACCACAUUCGUAACAAUGUGGGGAACAUUUUGCUAUAAAGUUAUGUUAUUUGGACUAAAAAAUACGGGAGCGACAUAUCAAAGAGCCAUGGUAACUUUUUUUUAUGAUAUGAUGCACAAAAAAUCGAGGUUUGUGUCGACAAUAUGAUUGCAAAGUCAUGAACAGAAAAUGAGGAUGUACAAAUCUUGAGGCAAUUGUUAUUGAGAUUGAGAAAAUUCCAGCUAAAGCUCAAUCCAGCAAAAUGUACCUUCAGGGCUAGGUCAGAAAAAUUGCUUUGUAUUCAGUAAAAAGGGGAUCGAGAGGCUAUACAGGAGUUACCUCUGCCGCGCACUCAAAAAGAAGUUCUAGGUUUCCUAGAAAGACUAAAUUACAUCGCUCGAUUCAUUUCACAACUAACUGAGAAAUGCGACCCUAUAUUCCGUCUCCUUAAGAAACACAAUCCAGAUGUAUUGGAUUAAGAGUUCCAGAAAACUUUUGAUAAGGUCAAACAUUACCUGUUUAAUGCUCCAGUACUGAUGCCACCUAGUUUAGAUAAGCCGCUGAUACUGUACUUGGCAGUAUUUGGAAAUUUGAUUAGAUGCAUGCUCGGCCAACACAAUGAGUCAGGAAAGAAUGAAAGAGCUAUAUACUACCUUAGCAAGAAGUUCACUGAAUGUAAAACAAGAUACUCGCGGAUCGAAAAGUUGUGUUGUGCUUUAAUCUGGACAACCGGAAGACUGUGACAAUACAUGUUGUACCAUACAACUUGGCUAAUCUCAAAAAUGGACCCUUUAAAGUAUAUGAUAGAGUCAACUACUCUGAAUGGAAGAAUAGCCCGAUGACUAAUUCUACUUUCUGAAUUUUGAUGUAAUUUAUGUGAACUAGAAGGUAAUAAAAGGGAUUGUAAAAGUAGAUUUUCUAGCCAGUAGAGCUCUAAAAGAUUAUGAGCCUUUGAACUUUGAUUUCCCAAAUGAAAAUCUGAUGUAUGUUGCGACCACUGAAGAAGAUGUUCAGGAAGGACAUCCUAGGAAACUAAAUCUUGACGGAGCGUCAAACACCAUAGGCAAUAGAAUCGGGGCAGUCUUGGUAUCCCCAAACGGAGAUCAUUAUCCAUUUACUAGUAAAUUAUAUUUUAAUUAUACAAACAAUAUGAUGAAAUACGAAGCAUGCAUCAUGGGUAUCCGUGCAGCCAUAGAACGUAAGAUCAAAGUCCUAGAGGUAUAUGGGGAUUCUGCACUAGUGAUCUAUAAACUCAAAGGUGAAUGAGAGACGAGAGACCCUAACUUGAUCAGUUAUCAAAGGCUGGUUCUUGAGUUAAUUGAGGAGUUUGAGGACAUCACCCUAGCUACUUUAGCUUUCAUGGUCAAAGUGAACAAAUAAGAGGAUGUAAAACCUAUCCAGAUGAGUAUUUACGAGGCUCCAACUCAUUGUUACAACAUCGAGGAAGAACAAAAUGAUGAUCACCCUUGGUGCCACGAUAUACUACGAUAUGUGAAGAAUCGUGAAUACCCUGACCAAGCAACUGAGAAUGAUAAAAGGAUGUUGAGAAGACUAGCCAGUGACUAUGUCUUAAAUGAGGAGAUCCUAUACAAAAGAAGAAAAGAUCAGGUGCUACUAAGAUGUAUGUACGUUGUUGAAGGUAAGAAAAUCUUAGAAGAAGUCCAUGAGGGUGUCUACGGAAUGCAUGCUAAUGAUUUUACAAUGGCUAGGCAAAUAAUGAGAUUUGGAUAUUAUUGGUCCAACAUGGAAGGAAAUUGUAUCAGUUAUGCUAAGAGAUGUCAUAAGUGUCAAAUUUAUGGAGACAAAAUUCAUGUACCUCAUUCACAUCUUCAUGUUAUGACUUCUCCAUUGCCUUUCUCUGUGUGGGGCAUGGAUGUCAUUGGGCUGAUCUCUCCAAAAGCUUCCAAUGGACAUCGAUUCAUCUUUGUGGUUAUCGAUUACUUGACCAAGUGGGUAGAAGUCACUUCAUAUGCCAAUGUCACAAAGUCAGCAGUCAGCAAAUUCUUGAAGAAAGAGAUCAUAUGUCAGUAUGGAAUGCAAAAAAUGAUUAUAUCUGACAAUGCAUUGAGCUUGAAUAACAGUACGAUAGCAGAGGUCUGUAGUCAAUUCAAGAUCAAACACCACAACUCGUCACCAUAUCGCCCAAAAAUGAAUGGUGCGGUAAAGGCAUCCAAUAAGAACAUUAAGAAGAUCGUGGGGAAAUGACUGAGACUUAUAAAGAUUUGCAUGAGAAGUUACCAUUUGCUCUCUAUGCUUAUCGAACGUCUUUUUCAUUGGUUUAUGGAAUAAAGGCAGUUUUGCCCAUUAAAGUCGAGAUUCUUUCUCUCCGUGUUUUUUCAGAGGUGAAGUUAGAUGAAGCAGAAUAGAUCCAAUCCCGAUAUGAUCAACUAAAGUUUAUUAAAGAGAAGAGGUUGAAAGCUAUCCAUCAUGGUCAGAUGUACCAAAAACGAAUGAUGCAAGCUUAUGACAAAAAGGUUCGUCCUAGAAAAUUCCAUGAGGAUGACUUGGUAUUGAAAAAGAUCAUUCUCAUAAAAAAAAUUUCAAAGGAAAGUGGAUGCCAAACUGGGAAGAAUCUUAUGUGGUAAAAAAUAGAUUUUCUAGAGAAGCACUGAUUUUGAUGGAGAUGGAUGGAAAAAACCUGCCUAAACCUGUGAAUUCAGAUUCAGUCAAGAGAUACUUUACCUAAAAAAAAGGAGAGGCCAAGGUAAAAACUCACAAAAUGGCGUCUUGAGACCAAAUGGGUUGUGAGUUGAAAACCAAUGGAAUGACAACUCAAAAUUUUGAUUGAAGAUUGAACAUGUGCUAGUUGUGUCCUCUCAGAAGAAGAACGUUACAUCUUGGGGCAUUAAUGAAGUACUCUGGAUCUCCUAAACACAUAUUUGGCUCAAAAGGGUCCUCGAGAAGUUAGUGCGGAGAAGCUCAUGCUACAAUAUCUGGGGCACCUAGUUUCAUCUUAUUCAUUUUGUAUUUUAGCAACAUUUUCUAUUUUGAUUAAUCUAUUCAUUUUGAGCUUUGCUCCUAAUAAAUUUCAACCUUAUCCAUUGUUACAAUCUUUUUCAAGCAUUUUUCAUUGAAAUAACGAUUAAUGAACUAAUAAUAUUCAAGUAAAAGGAUUUCUUGCAUAUUGCUUUGAAAUUUUUCUAAAUAGUACAAUGACCUAAAACAGGACCACUAGUUAGAACUAACCAAAUCCAGGAGUUGGAAAUGUUUGGGAAUGAAUAAUUUAAAUUAUGAUUAUUUCUUCAGGUUUUCUGUCAAAGAUACCAACUAAACAAGAAGGCUGAGUAAUGCGUUAGUGAUAGAACCUUGAUGAACAACGAGCAAUGUCAACCCAAACAUUAAAAAGGGAUAAUUCUCGAAAAAUGACAUUCUACAUUCAUGCAAAUAUCAUUCAUACACAUCUAGUUAGGAGCAUUUGAUUCAUUCUGAUCAUAACAUCCUAAUCACUUGACAUAAAUAUAAAAUAGAUUCUACAGGUCAUGUUUCCUAGAAAAUGGUAUAACAGAUUAGUGAAACCACAAAUCUUAUACCCCUAAAGUUGCAAUGGGAUGGAUUGAAGUCAUCAUGGUGAAUCUUAUCUCCCUGAAGUUGCAGUGGAGCAGAUUAAAGCCACAAAUCUUAUCUCCCUGAAGUUACAGUGGAGCAGAUUGAAGAUAGUAAAUCUUAUCUCCCUGAAAUUGCAAUGGAGCAAAUUGAAGAUAGCAAAUCUUAUCUCUCUGAAGUUACAGUGGAGCAGAUUAAAACUACAAAUCUUAUCUCCCUGAAGUUGCAGUGGAACAUAUUGAAGUUACAAGUCUCAUCUCCCUGAAGUUGUAGUGGAACAGAUUGAAGUUACAAAUCUUAUCUCCCUGAAGUUGUAGUGGAGCAGAUUGAAGUUACAAAUCUUAUCUCCCUGAAGUUGCAGUGGAGCGAAUUGAAGAUAGCAAAUCUUUUUUCCCUGAAGUUGAAGUGGAAUAGAUUAAAGCUACAAGUUACGAAUCUUAUCUCCCUGAAAUUACAAUGGAGCAGAUUAAAGCCACAAAUCAUCUCCCUAAAAUUGCAGUGGAGGAGAUUGAAGAUACGAGUCUCAUCUCUUUGAAGUUGUAGUAGAGUAUAUUAAAGUUGCAAGUCUAAUCUCCCCGAAGUUGCAGUGGAGUAGAUUUAAGUAGCAAAUCCCAUACCUCUGAAGUUGCAGCGGGUUAGAACGAGGCUAUUUGAAAAAGAAAAGUACAAAGAAGUCGAGAUUCGGCAAAACCUGACAAAAUUGGCCCUUCUUAAAGUCUUUGCUCCAUUCCCGCUACACGUCAAUGAGCAAAGAGGUGCAAAUUAAUGAGGAAAUUUUAUCCAACCUGAAUAAAAAUAAACCAAGCCAAAUAAUAAAAAUAAAAUAAAAUCCAAAAACAGUCCAAAUACAAAAAAAACCCAAAAUACAACCAACCCCUAACCCAAAGUUACAAGCCCACAACCUAAACUCAUUUUCAGUAGAACUAAAAACCCUAACCCCCUUUGCCAUGCCACAAAAAAAGGAAAAGAAGUAGAAGCAAGCAAUCGAAAAACAUAUAUUGUAAUAUUUUCUCAGUUAUAAAAACAAUUUUUUGUAACACAAAGAGGGAUCUUGUUUCUUUUAUACACAAGAGUAAUCAAAAACAGAAUACAAAACUUCAAAAGGUGAUUUUUCUUUAUUUUUUACGAAUCCUUUUUUAUAUAUAAAAAAACAUAAAAUAAAAAGUAAAGGUUGAAAACCUACCUGACUCUUCGCGUUCUGCCAUCAUGAGUGGCUGAGGUUCGUCAUCUCCGAUGAAAGAUGACUUCUUUCGGCAGAAAAGGGCGAAAGUUGAUUUCGUUUUUUUAUUUGUUUUAAACGUUUGCCUUUGGAUCUAAAAUCUAAUUUUUUUAAAAAAAAAAGGCAAAAAAAAAAGGAUUUUUUUGAAAUUUUCCGGCCACCGGAGACGGCGGCCGCCGUCGUCGACAUCCGAUGGCAGCUGCGGAUCACGAUGGCCCUUUAGGUCGAACGUGAGGGGGCUUUGAGAGAAAAAUGAAAUAGCUAAAGGUUUAAAAAAAACAAGUAAAAUGAUUUUUUUCUAAGUUUUUUACUUAUAUAACCCAUGCAAAACAGCGUUGUUUUGGAAUUUAAUUUCAAACACCAAAACGACGUCGUUUUGACAUGACCCGCGGCUCGACCUGACCCAUCCCCUAGGAUCCGUAUGUUUUCACCUGGAGGGUAUAUUUAUGUUUUCGGUCCUUCUACUUUUUAAUGGCAUUUCAAUCCAGUCCUAUUUCUUUUUCUCUUUUAAUUUUUACCUCAAAAUUUUGAUUUUAUUUCAUUUUCAUCCCCUAGAGAAUGGUGCGUUUUAGAGGGCCUGGGAAUAAUUUUUCAGUUGGUCCCCCCUCUUUUGCGCGCAUUCUAUUUAGGUCCUUAUUAGGUUUUCUUAUUUGGUUUAUUUGUUUUAUUAUGAUUUAUACCAUUAAUUUCGUUUAAAUUUCAAUUUAGUCCUUCAUUCAAUUAAUUUCAUCUUUUUAUAUUUGUUUUAUUUAUUUAUUAUUCUUUUACUUUUUAAAUACCAAAUUUUAAUAUUAUUUAUAUUUCAUCUAUUUAUUUAUUUGUUCAUUAUUCUUUUACCUUUUAAAUACUUAAAUUUAAUAUUAUUUAUAUUUGGCUUAUUUAUUUAUUAUCCUUUUACAUUUUAAGUACCUAAUUUUACUAUUAUUUAUAUUUGUUAUAUCUAUUUAUUUAUUAUUCUCGAUUAACUUGAAAUAAGCCCCUUUUCGUGAAAAUUAAUUUAGUUAAUUAAUGUCUUAAUAAGGGAUUGUAUUUUAAAUUCUCUUCAAAUUCUUAAUUUUCGACACUAAAGACAUCAAGUAAUCAAUUAGGUACCAAUUUUGGGCGUAACGAGGGUGCUAAUCCUUCCUCGUGCAUAAUCGACUCCCGAGCCCAUUUUCUGGAUUUUUGUAGACCGAAAAAUAUUAUUUUAGUAAAUCAAACCUUCUAUUAAAACGAUCAAAUUACGAGGUGAUCUAAUCACACCUCAUAAAAAGGAUUGGUGGCGACUCCCAUUUUUAUUUUUUUUAAAAUAAAAAGUCGAUUUUAAAAAAGGUUUCGACAAUUGGUGUGAUAAGUGGGCCCUAAAGUGACCUGAUAGUAGUAUUUAUGUCUGUUAGCCCUUCCUUAAUCAAGGGGCUGAGUUGGCUAGGUGCCUAAGGUGAGGUGAUUAUGUAUUACCAAGCACAUACUUGUCUAGUUUUAUAUGAACUUUUUCUCUUUACAAGGCAAGUAUGUGAAAUAUGACCGUGAUAAUGGUGAUGGACAUGUUUGAUCAUAUUUAAUAGAGAAGAUUUCUCAUAAGCAAUUUCUUUAUAAGUUUUUAAGCUCCCAAGCUUCAUUUUCAAAUCAAAAAUUUCUUUUUCAAGAAUUUCAUUUUCUUAUAGGAAGCCUCAAAAUUUGUUUUCAAUUUCGUAUUAAGGCUUUCCAACCAACCUUUGUUUUUACAGGAAAUUAUUUUCAAUUUUCAACUUUGAAACCAUUUUCUUGUAUUUGCAAUUCAUAACUUCAAAUUUCAGUACUAAUUCAUCAUAAACUUCUUAUAGGUCAUCAAAUGAAUAUGAACUGAAGUAGCAUAACCUGUAAGAUACCUCGAGCCCUUCAAAAGCCAUGAAGUAUGAUGCAUUUAGAUUUGGGGAGAGACUUCCAGUUGGUUGCUUAUGUUUAAUUACAUAUCCACUUGUUGAACUUUGAUUCUCACAAGACAUUUCAAGUCUUUUCUCUUCCUCUUUGUUUUCAUAAAGUUCCUUUAAUUGUUUUUUUUUCAUAUUUUUUUGGCAUUCCUGCAAAAGGAAACUUUAUUGUAUUGUGCUUGACUUAAGGCACAAAGGAGAAUGUGUAUAGCCUUGGCAUUUAAUAGAUAUUUCCUUGUAUCAAUUGCAUCCCAUCUUUCUUCCUCCUUAGGCACCUCCAAAGGACCAUUUAUAAUAUUUCUCCAAGCACCUAAUCAAAUGCUUGAAUAAGGAAUUUCUUCUUAACUUUCCAAUAGGAGCAGUUUUCACUAUUUAGAAAUGGAGGAUACAUAAUAACAUGGCCUUCUUCUAAACACAAAUGUCAUUGUUGUACAAUCCAAAAAUCUUAAGUUUUGAUAUUAUUUUCUUCUAACGGUAAAACCUUAAAUGGAGACAUUACUUAGAUAUCAAUUGUUAGCUCAAAUAAUUGAAAGGGUACUAAGGGGGGAUGAGAUUGAGUUGGUGCUUAAAAAUUCUUGCAAAAAUAAAAGGAAUAGAAAAAUCAACACCAAACUUAUAGAGGUUCAACUCCAAUGCCUAACUUCUCUCCCGUAGCUUUCCUAACCAAGUUGCUUCCCAAAGUCACCAUGAGAAAAUGUACCUUUAUACUCAUAUAUUACUUUACAACACUCUAUCUUUUGCAAGGAUAAGAUAGAACCUCUAAUCCCUUUUAUGUUUUUGUAUCCAAAAACCUCAAGUAAUCUCUCUAAUUCAAACAAAUUAAAAACUUUUAAUAAGUUGGUGUUUGGAAAGUUAAAGUUCUUAAAAAUACAAAUAAAAAUGAGUAGAAAGAUAUUCAACACAAUCCACUAAAUGAGUACAAAAAGAAUGAAAGAAUCGAAACUUCUCUUAGAAAUUCUUGCAAAAUCUUUGUAUUCUUGCUUAUACUACAACUCCUUACUUCUUGAAGUGUUGAGAUCUAUUUAUACUAAAAAAAUAAGUUCAUAGUCAUUUGGAGUUGUUGGAGCCACAAAAUAGGCUUGUUUUUGGUAAAGUUAGAAUUUUGUAGUUGUUAGAAUGAGAGAUCAAUUCUGGGAUUAAUAUUUUGUCCUUCUUUUUCAAUUUAGAUGUUGUAUGGGAUUAAAUUUGGGGUUGACCUUAAGGAUACUAUCCUUGGGAGAUCAUUUCUUAACCUAAAAAAUCCUUUAAAGUUUAAAAUAAAUCAAAACAAAAUUCUACCAAUUCAAAAACAUUAAAAAAAUAUAUCAAAUUAUUUUAAAUUUGUGUUUUUAAGAUUUUUAAAAUCUUGAAAAUGUUUUGUGAAAUUUUUCAUUUAGGGUAAAGUACGCUCAAGAUCACUAAAUUAUUAGUAAGUUUAUGUUUGGGUCACUCAACUUCAAAAGGUUACAAAAUGGUCACUAAACGAUUCGAAAGUUUUCAUUUAAGUCAUUAGGCUAUUAAAAUCACUGUUGUAUAGCCUUCUCUAUUUGCACCACUUGCACCAAUCGAAAGCUCUCCUUUCCUCUUUUACAGUUUAGUUUUUUCAUGAAACAACUUUGAACAUCACAAAUUUAUGAAUCAAAAUCCAAACAGCUUUCUUCUUCGAUCUCUGACACUAACCACCAAAUCGACAUGGAUUUAAGGUAUGUCUACUUGUCAAUGAGUACUGAUCCUCUGUACCAAUCGUUGAAUCAUCGCUUGGAGCUCGCUAGUCAAACUUAGAAAAACUCAACUUAAUGAUUUAAAUAAAAAACUUUCUAAUAGUUCAAUGACUUAAAUGAAAACUUUCGAAAAGUACAAUAACUAUUUUGUAACUUUUUGAAGUUGAGAGAUCAAAAUGUAAACUUAUUAAUAGUUUGGUGACCUUGGGUAUAAUUUACCCUAGAGUUUACUAUUUAUCCCCAAAAGAAUUUAAGGUGAAAAGAAAAAAACUGAAAAUCUAUUGAAGUAUUUUUAGUUUAAAAAAGUUGGGUCAAAACAAAAUUAAAAAAUUUUAACGUGAACUUGUUUGAAAAAAAAAUUUAACGUCUUUUAACUAAUUACGAGUCUUAAGCUUACCUUUUUUUAUACAAUACCUAAAAUUAGGCAUAAUUCUUCCUCAUUUCUUAAAUAGGAACCAUACUAAUUCUCAAUCAACCAUUCAUUCUAAUACUUAGGGUGGGUUUAGAUGGGCGAUUGGGUGCGGUGCGGUGCGGUGCGUUUAGUUUACUUUUUGUCUCACGCUACAGUAUCGCUACAGUAUCCAAUCUCACCGCCACCGCUGUUUUUGCUCUAACUGCAGGUAAACACACCGCCCAUCCAAACUCACCCUUAAAGUAUGUUGAAGCUCCAAACCUCUUUUUAAGUAGUAUACUCAUACGAGGAUAACAUUUAAUGGGUAAAUCUACUCAAGCACUUAAAACUUUUAGGAAUCUUUAAUAACAUUGGUGCGAUAAAAAGACGCAUUUUUCUCUUUAAAUCCUUUUGCUUUUGGACGGCAAGUUGUACGGUCUCCAUAAUGUGUUGUUUUAUAUAGUUUAAGUCGGCUAUUAGUACCUAUCAAUCUAUCACUAAAUCACCUCUUAUCCAACUCCACCCAAAGCAAAAAAGGGUCGUCUCUGAAACAUCCAUGGCCGACAAUUGCUCAUUGCCACAGUUCGUAAUGGAGUUAACAGUCUUGCCAAUUGAGAAUCUUAAAAAACAAGCUUCUUGUGGUCUCUUUACUCGACAUUUAAGACUCCAUAUAUCUCUCACUAAGUUCAAUGGUGUGAAAAAUCUUUGCGAAGGUAAUGCUGAGAAAUCUACAUUUGGUGAAAGCUUUGUGGUACCAAUAGAAUCCACCUUCUUCGCUAAUAACUCUUACAUAAAUCUUCAACUACACACCAAAAGGCUCCUUGGUCGUAAGGAUUUACUAGGUUGGUGUCAGAUUCCGGCUGCUGAUAUUGGGGAACCGCCGGUAGGGUCAGUCCGGUACUUGAGUUACAAGCUACGGGGGAAAUAUGGUUCAAGGGGUAAUAAGAUUGUUGAUCUCCGGUUAAAGUUGAAAAGUUAUGGUUGCCCUAUGCACGCCGGUCAGGAGGUUAUUGGCACUCAGGUGGUGGCUAGGUACCCACCGAGUAAUUAUGCCUGCCAAAUCAACUGACUGAAAGAGGGUUGGUCUCAUUUAUUUUGUAUAAAGGUCCUUGUGUUAAGCUCUUUUGUGAAACCUCUUUAUUAUUAACAUUGAAAAUUAAACUUUGAACUUUCAUAUAAUGUAUAAUGUAAUAAUUGUAUAAAGAUAUUAUCUACUUUAAUACUCGUAACAUUCUUUUAUGUAUCAAUACACGUUGACUUGACAACCAUGAAUAUAUCAAUGUCUCUAUUAUUAUAUGAUUGAUUUUUAAUUUUGAAUAUAAUUUUAUUAUUCAAUUUAGCUUUUCUUUUCUAAUUUUGUGUAUUGCUUUAGAACAGAAAUAAAAAAAAAUUUAAAUAAUUUAAUCAACCUUAAAAAAAUCACAUUCAAAACCCAAAACCAAGCGUAUAACAUGUAACAUUCAUUUAUGCGAUUUUACAAAAUUAGCAAAUAAACUAAACGAUAUUAAAAUUUUGGAGUACACAUAUAUGACAAAAGUGGUACCAUAUUCGCAUUGAAUGAGAGCUCAAGAACUAUACGUCAAAUUAACCUUUCAUUUGAAAUUUAUAUAUACAUUUUGAAACUUAUAUUUCAAUCAAUUAAAUUUGGCACGACUUGUUUUUAAAAUUAUAACAUUACACCUUGAUUUUAUUGUUUUACUGUUAAACAAAUACUAUAGUGUUUCUUCUUUUACUCUUUUACAAUAUACAAAAAAAUUUGUUCAAAGAGUGUCAUAACAUAAAUUUAAAAAAUAAACAAUAUCAAAUUAUUUGACAAAAUUAAAAAAAAAUCACCUCAAAACACUAAACCCAUAAAAAAAUGUGAAUGACAGGUAUCUUCUUCACUAGAACCGACAACAUUAGCUGGGUUAGGGGUUGUUAUCAAAUAGUUGUGAGUGUGGUUUUGGUUUUUUGACUUUUUACGACAAAUAAGAAAAAGGGAUUUAUUUGUUAUGAAUAAAAAAAAUAUACUAGAACGGAUAAGUUUCAUUACGUGGACUUCUUAUCAUUGAAAUAUAUAUAAAACAAAUGAUAAUGAUAACGAUAACGUGAGCUUGGAAACAAUUUAUCCACUUCUAACGUUCUUCGACUGUUUAUAUUGCAAAUAAUCCACAAGUUAUAAACUUCUAAAUAAUCAUAAUUAUGCAAAGAAACAUAAAAGUUCUUUCAAAUUUCUUUUUUGCUCUCAACCUUUUUUUUUCCGUAAAUUAUUAUAUAAAAAUUUACUACAGAAUUUAUUUAUGAAAAUUAUCCUCGAAAUUACCACUCUUUUGCAUUUGCAAAUCAACAUACACAAUAAAGACAAAUAAAAACCUUUAAAAAGUGAUAUAAUUAUACACUUUGAAACCUUUAAUUUUUUUAAUUAUCUUAUUCUUAACCCAUAUAACAACAGAUAAUACUAAGACGAAAUAAUUAUCCAUUUUAAUGAGUAGGGAUAACAAUAAAUGAAUUCAAGUCAACCUAUAACAUCAUCAAAUAGAGCAAAGGGAAGAAAAUGAAUUGACACUCAUUUUCGGUAAUUAAAAAAAAAAUUCCACAUAAUUAAUGGAAGAUAAUAAAAAUUGAUUAAAGUCGGCCUAUUACAUCAUAUAAUAGAGAAAAAGGAAGAAAAUGAAUGAAAACCGAUGUCCUUUCACUACUUCAAACCCAAAAUAUUAGGAUCUCUCAUUCCCUUCAACAAUUGCAACCAGCUAAAACAUAUCAAAUAAGAAAAACAAGAGCCAAAAAAUGAAAGUUUACAGUUUGAUCACUACUAAAACAAAACUUGGAUAGGUUUUUAGUUAUUGGGGUAGGCCUCGUUUCUCUCGGUAUUCUUAGUUUGGAGGGUAGAUUUACAGGAAUUUGUACCGACAGAACAUUACAUUCAUAAGUUGUAUGCAUGAUGCCUAAGUCCCUAAUUAGUGUUACCACCAUUGGCCUUUUUUACUUGCAUGCAACUAUAAAUAAAUUGGAUUUAGAGACCCAGCUCAUUUUCUAAGCACAAGGAGACAGCUAAAAUGCUCUAUUGAGAUUUGUUGAAGAUAUAAAUAAAGCCCUAUAUGCAAACAUGAUUUCGCAGCUACAUUACCUUCCAACAUUUCUGAUUUCGUUUGUUGCUCCUUGAAUUUUCUUCUUCAUCGAUUUAAAACUACUUUGUCGUUUCUUGUUCCAGCGAAUUGAGGUGCUUCGCUUAAGAACAUCUGACAUACGAGGCAAUCUUGAGGUCGAAUCCCCUAAGGGAGUAUCGUCAUAAUCUAGUCAAGAAUUGAUCAGCCAAAAUUUCAGUAGAUGAAAACUAUUGAUAACCAAGAAUUAAUCAUCAAUUCAAUAUGCAAACAGUUUAUCGUGGCUUCCAACUCUCAUGAUGUAAAGCAUUUGAACAUACCCUAAAGCAUAACAAUUAUCAUAAGCUGCUAAAUUUCUGAACAUCAAUUAAGCAUAUCUUUAGAGCUCAUGUGUAGAGCAAAGGAAAUACUAUUACUAAACAUUAAUUAACGAAAACAGCCUGUAACAUUAAUUUAAUGAUAACUUUGUUCCUUGAAUAGCCUGUUCUUUCGAUUCAUUCAUAUUUCUGGUAAAUUGCUUAUAUUUCCAAUAACACUUUUGUAGCUACACUGCAUAGAAAGUAUCACCUGAAGACAUGGGUAGCUGAUAUUGCACUUUUAAGAACUUUGAUGCCUCCCUAUCUUUCUUGUGGCAUAAUACUCGCAUUAAAGUGUGAGCAUCCCCCAAGUUUGUAUGGCCUUGUUUGUUUGAAUCUAAUCCCAUUGAAAUGAGCUCACUUGCAGUCAUUAGCAUUUGAAUAACAGUUUCGGUCUGCCAAAAAGCAAUGAUUAAACCAAUGUACUACGAAUUUUGCUAUACACAAGAAACACUUAAAAGUAUAAGCUGGCCAACCUGAAGAGAAAACAUGUGAAGAAUGCGUUCAGCAAAUUUUGCUUCCUGCUCAACUAAAGACUCUGGAAGGCCUUCUCCAUCGGCAAUGAAAAAUUCCUAGAAUAAGACAAUACACUUCUAUUAGCUAGUAAAUAAUUCAUAGAGAUAAUAUCCUGAAUACAUGCAUCAAGGUUGUUGGCACUUUUUAUAGAAAGUGUCAUGCUUAUUGAACAUGAAUAUACUAUCGAUCAAAGUGCAUAUGUAUUUUUUCAUGCAAUACAAACCUUUAGUGUCAAAAGGUCUUCUUCCAUAAGGAUGAUAUCCGAAUCAGAGAAGGCACGGCAAGGACCUCCAUCAAGUAAUACCCAAACAAAGCCUUCCUGAGACAUGAUGGAAACAAAAAGUUAAGUUGUUAAACAAGGGCAUUAAUGGAUCACAGGAGGACAAGCCACGAGCAUACCAAUGAAGCCUUAUAAAUACUUAUAACUACAACAUCUCUAACAGCAUCAUCUAUCACGCCACAUACAUUGUCCAGAACCUGCAUUCAAGCUAGCCAAUAUUAGCACAAUAUAUCUUUAAAGGGGUAGCAAAAAAUUAAAACUAAUGUGACAGAGAAAAGAAAUGUUUAAAAAUUCCUACAAAUAUUCAUAGGUGCAGCCAUGCACACAACAAAAGAGAGAAAUAGAAAGAUUGGAGAAGGCAGAAGCCAUCUACUUUAGUGUAUUACCGUGUCGAAAUCGGGAAGAAAAUUCUCCAAACGAGUGCUUUCAACAUUGCCGCGAUAUAAAUGAAACAGGAAUGCAUCUCUAAGAUCCCAAAACACAACUCUUGUUCCUAGAAAUUAUUUAAAUAGAAAGAAGUUGAAAUUUAAGAAUAAUAGUAAUAAUAUAAUCAAUCCUCAGUAGCGAAGAUUAGAAAAUAAAAAUAUUUUGCAGUCUUUAAAAGAAAAUGCAAGCGGCUCACCAAUCAGGUCACAAGUUUUUUGGCCACUAUCUUUAGCAGUAUCCCUGAUGAUGUUAAAGGUCGUACCAAAGAGUUCAUCUACUGUUUCGUUAUGUGUUAGUGAGUCACUCUCCAAAAUCUCCACAGGCUCUUCUUCAGCUGGAUGAAAGGAAGGAAACUAUCAAGAUCAUAAUAACCACAAAACUGUAGAAAGGAGGGAGGGAUCUAAAUAUAAAAUAAAAUACGGAAGAUCCUGAAAUUAAUAUAACCAUUAUGAAUAAAAUGACUAAAAAUGUCCUUCCAAAAUCCAAAUCUCAAUUGUUAAGUUUCUUUUCACUUAAAAAGAAGGUUCAUGUUGUAUAUGGCAACGCUCUUAAUGCUGUUUCAUUUUGGUCUGUUCAUCUCCUAUAAAUGAUCAUUCAUAUAAAACAACCAGAACUAGUGUGCAGUAAUACUUCAUCCAACUUUAUGUGGUAGAGACAUCUUGCCUUUUCCAGUUGUACAAUUAGUUUUUACAUCCAGAAAUACAUACAUUCAUGCCAUCAUUGCAUCACAGCCUAUGAUUCCUGUUAUUAGUUACAUGCAUAUAUAACUUACCCUGUGUUUGGUUAAGGGAUGGCCUUACAGCUGCCCAAGAGUUUCGAAUGUCAUCUUCAAGUACGCCAACCUGUUUCUGAAUAUACUGCAUGGAAACAAGAAUAUGCCACAAGCAUAAGUUGACAGUAUUCUGAGAAUUUUGCAUUGUAAUACCCAAGAUAUAGAUACAUGACCCGUAACUAGAAAUUAUUAUCACAAAUAAAAACCUAGUAAUAGAUAUAAGUCAAGAGAGUAAAAAUAAUUAUCUCAAGUAAAACCACAGUGAAAAUGCCAUUUUGGAAAUCUCGUAACUGCCAAUAUAAUUCUAAGCCAGCGUUUAAAUCUUGCAUACUGCAAAUUUGAACCAACUCUACAUCACAUUUAUUAAACCAUGUACUCGAUCCGGAUAAAAAAACAACUGGCUUACUUUUGGAGAUUUACAAUCAACUCUAAAUGUUUUUGACAAGAAAGUAAGUAGAAAUAUCAAGUAAUCCAAAAACAAUUUGGAAAAGGACCACAUCAAUACCUGCUAGGUAUAAGAACGAAUACAACCAAAUCAAAAGCAAAACCAAGUAUAGAAUUCUUCAAAGACAGGAAAGCAACUUUGGUACAUUACGUAAAAAGUCUUAAUGGAUUUUGAGCAAUGUUGAAAUGACUGAUCUUAGGCUGCAUUCAGAUUAGACUUUCCUGUUCUAAACUCAAUGCAGAUUUAGCUCAGACUAAAUAGUUUUUUGAUUGAAGAUAAAAUUAUGUGUUAAAUCUUAUAUGUUCUUAAAAAGCUGAAAAUUGAUUUGCAUAAUCCCAAAAGACAGUUCCUGCAACAAGAGUGAACAUACCCAAAAUUUGUUUAUUUGUAACAAAAUACAUUAUAAGGUAAUCAAUACUUUUAAAAAUGAUCAGACUACCUGAAGGGUGUUCAGCCGGAUGCAGAGUUUGGGUAUUGUCAAUUCAUUCAAUCUAUCAAGCAUGAUGUCAUCUAAGACUUUGUAUUCAUUCAACCUCUUCUUAAUUAGUGGAAUAGCUGUCUCAGUGUAACGAGUCAAUGGAGGGGCCGAUGGGUAGAGAUGAUUCUUCUCAACUGCAAUAUUUAAUGUACCACCAUCACGUUGUAAAAUAUAUUCGGUAAUAUGAGCAAUUGACGAGAAGAAACUUCCAUAAUCUAAUAAUAUUAACAAUAAUGAAGAAAAGCACUAAGACUAUCAAUUGCAAAAAGAAAAAAACUUGGAAAGGCAUGCAGAAGAUCCGUGACAUUAAAAACACAAGCAAAUAAACAAAGAGUAAUUUGGAUCCAGGCUACAUAGCUACCACUAGAUGUUCAACUAGAACAAAAGAAUUAGCUGCACCCUAGCAGUACCAAGGAUUUCAAAGAAAAGGUGUAGGCAUAGAAAGGUUGCUUUCAGCUAAUAACAAUGAGGUAAUAACCAUCAUGAAAAUAAUAACAAGAUAAUGCCCUAACUUUCCCAAGCACAAUUCAAAGAUAGGAAACAAAACAUAGGUACUACCUAACUGAUUGAGAACUCUCUGCAGAUAUGCAUCCAAACUGUGGAAAACUAUAGAUAGAAGGGCUUGCAGAUGAGUAAUGUCCAGAGGGAGAUUCAUUCCAAAGAGUUGAUCCACUGUCUGCAAGUUAACACAGUUAAGAGAAACAAGAAACCAUAAACCACAAAUACAACUAAGCAAAUGAGAUUCAAUUAUUACAAUUUAAAUAUAAAAUAAUAGAAUUAAAUACAUGAAAAAGUUAUUACUAUCUUUCCUGGUUGAAGGUGCAUUUACAGCUUUUAUUUAGCACUCAUGAAACUUAGUAAGGGUGAGAUUCCUAAGGCAAGGAUAUCUAUUGCAUCAAAGAGCAAUCUAUGGAUAUGGAAAUUCCCACAUACAAAAAACACAUAAGAGAAUUACAGGCCUUAAAUCCAGAGAUGGCAUACCUCCUCCAAUAUCCUAAAAACUUCAACUAUUGAUGCUGCCUGCCUUUGAUGAAAUGACAACGGCUCCCAAUCCUGCACAUUACAAAAAGUAAGAUGUGGUUUAAUCAUUGUUCCAGAGUUCCGGUGAUUUUAAUUUGAAACAAAUCAUGAUAACUGUCUGUUAAUAAGACAAACACAGGAUACUUAUAUUUCAUACAUUCAAACAUGUUAUCAUAUAUCAGCAUCAAAUCCAAUUAAGGAUAAAAACAACCUACCUUGGCUUGAAAGGUAGGUCAAAAUCAUCAUCUUCAGUCACUCAUUGACAAAAGUAGCUCAAGAAAAUAGAACCAAAGGGAUUUGUGACCACAAAAAUAUUUUUAGAGGGAGAAAGAAAAGAACAGAGGCAAGAAGAAAGAAAAUAUGUGUGAGUCUGUGCAAUGAACACAAAAAAAAGAGGAAAAUUAAACAAAAUCAAAGACGCAACAAAUAAGAGCUAGAGACAAAGAAAAAAAUAAGUCAACAAGUUCAGUUGUCAAUAUGAGUCUAUCAAAUGUUUCAUUUUCUCACUUUUGUCUCAAAAAAUUCAUAACCAUGUACAGGUACAAAUCUAUACAGUCUCAGUAUGAAUUGAUACCAUCCUACUAUACAGAAAAAGAAUAAAUUAACAUAAUCCUACCAUGGAACUAACCUCAAGGUCCAAUGCUCUUCUUGUCCAUUCCAAUAUGUGAGUAUGCUGACCAAUCACCCAAUCAAUAAUUAAUGGCCCUGAGACUUUUUCAAUCUGCACACAAGUAAAUCAAAAUUAAUACUCCACUUAGUCAUCACGUUAUUAUCUAAACCCAUACAUCAAAAGCACUUUCUUUUGGAAAUGUUUAGCUCCUAAAUAUUUCUAUGUGGAACAUUUUCCAACCUGCACGAUACCAUUACCCACUCCACUACUUGCAUCAACCUAAAUAAUAUCGGAUGCACAAAGAAAAUUAUGUUUAAGAUCAUCAUUAAUCCUAAAUCAAAGUUUUCCUUUUAUAACCAGAAAUCCACAAAACAGCAAGUGAACCAAUAAGCAAAAUCAUGUCCAGCAGUUGUCUGUAAAGUGCACCUCUCUGUAUUUCAGUUAACAUAUUAUUCUUAAAAAGGGACCAAAUAAGGAUUGAAUGACAUGAUAUCGGUCACAUUUAAAUUAAGAUCCAGGGGGCUUUAAAAAAUUGAUAGAAUGUUCAAAUAUCAGACUAAUGAGUUCAGAAAGUAUUUAAUCCUUAGAGAAAAACAAUUGCUUCUCCAUUGAAAAGAAAACACUAGCUAGUAAUAUGUGAAUCAUGAACAAAGAAUAACACCAGAAAAAAAUAAAAAAGGUAAUAUAGCAGGAAGCAAACAACGAGGAGAAAUACAAUAACAGAUACAAGAUAGAAUGACAAUGCAGAGACAUAAGUUUACAAACUUGAUUCAAAACACUUUGAUAAGUAAUACAGUAUCAUAAAAUGCAAACAAAUAACCUGGUAAUGGUCCAAAUAUGGUCUAGGAGAGUGCUGCACUUUCUGUUCCUCAAGAGCAGAAGUAUAAAUUUGGCCAAGUUCGUUGUCCAGGGCAUAGGCAGCAGGAAGCACUGAUCUAGCAUCUUCAGAUAAAGAUGAGACUCCCUUUAGGAAUGGAAUCUACAAAUUGACAAGAAUAGUCUCCCAGUAAAGAUACAGCAUACUACCAAAUAUAAUUUCAACUAAAAGAGACAUCAUUUAAAAGGAACAAACCAGUAUUUCCCCAUAAAAUUGGUGUAGUUUCUGCACUGAAAUCAUCAUAGAUUCAGGAGACCACUGACGCAAUACAGGGAAAAAUAUUUUUAACUCCCUGUCAGCAAUCAGUCUUAGUUGGUUUGCAAGUAGAGCCAACCGAUAUGUCCUUUCUUUAGAUUCAAGAACAGUAACUGCCACCUAAAAAUAUAAACAGCUUUAAUUGACUAUCUGUGAAGAAAUCUAUACAUGUAUAUAUAUCUAUAGUUAUAAAAAGACUCACCCUCCCGAUCGCAGCUUCAACAGACCUCUCUACAUAACUUUUAACUUUCUCACGAGAAGCAUUGACAAUUACCUGCUUGGAGGAAAAAUUGUCAUUAGAUAUACAUAAGCUUGAAAAAUUGUCAUUAGAUAUACAUAAGCUUCAUCCUCAAAUGGUAAGGAAGAGGCAAUUGUUAAACCACAUCUUACUUUUUGGUGUGUCCUUAUGGCUGAGCUCUUUUCAGUUGGACAAUUUGGUGUUUGAUCUGGGCUUUUUAUGUCCAACUAAAAAGAACUCAGCCAAGAGGAAAACACCGGUUCAUGCUAUGAGCAAAUUGCUUACUCACGACAGAAUUGGGUAGCCAUCCGAUAUGACCUUAGUAAUAAGAGAAAACUUUGUAUAUGUUCAACUUAUUGCAUAAUAAACCAAGUGAAGCUGUAGUCAAACACAAUAAUAUUGUCUGACAAAGCUCAAGCCAAAAGUAACAUGCUAUAUUGAACUUGAGAUUAGCUCAAUUUUUAAAUAUUUACAUCAAUACGAGCUUCAUCUUUUUACAAGUCUGGACACAUCACAUGUGGAUUGGUGGAUUUCUGAUUUCCAGAUUUUAAAAGCUUAUCAGGUUAUAUAAAUAACAUGUUUCAUUGAACAACCAAACAUGUAUGUAACUGUGCACCAUCACGGUCAACCUUACCUUAUCAGCACAAUCAGCAGAACUGAGCAAUCCUAUAGUCGAAGCCAAAGCCACCACUUUUUUGAAGUGAACAGGUUUCUGUGGAAAAAAAGAAGUUCGUAAUUAACAGGUAUAGAGUUCCAUAUUCACCCAUAAUCAGACAACAAUAACUAAAAUAAAAUAAAAUUACUGAACAAAAGGAUGUGCUUGGAAAUAGAACCAAGAAAAAAUUUAGCCAAACUAGCAACAAACCUCACUAAAAUGUAGAUGAUAGUCUUGUAGUUUACUGUCACACCAAGUGCCUAUGGACAGGAAAAUGGACUGCACCAGAUUUAGCUUUUUUUGACUGCCAUUUCUUUCCUUUAAGCAUGUUAUACUAUUCAUAUAUUGCCCUUCAUUACAGUCAUCUUCUUUAGCAGAUACAACUCUCUGCAACUGAAGACCAGCAUGCUCCAACAAAGUGCCUUCAGCAGUGUCAACAAACUUCAAUAGAGAAAAUACCGAUGGUUAAAAAGUUCAUAAUGAACAAUAAUUUUAAUGACUUGAACACAUAAAUGAGUCAUAAAUCAAAGAUGAUAUAUCAUUGCUAAAGGAUAAAGUUAUGCAACAACAAACAUUACAAUAACAUAAGACAUACCUGUUGAACAAGAGCCAACCCAUAUAGAGCAUCAUGCAAUUUAUCAGUGAUGCCUAAAGUGGACCAAGUCAGUUUUAUAAGUGACAGUAUUGCAUCUGCUUCCUAGCAAAAUUUUGAAAUAACAAACUCAUCAACAUAAAAAGUAAAUAUUCUAGAAGUAAUCACAAAAACUGUGCAAACAAAAAAUCAAGCCAACAACAAUAUGACUAAGGAUCUGCGUUGGCACCUCUAUGAGUUGGCCUUCAUCAAGAAUGUCAAAAACACCAUUCAAUAAUUUCUCAUAAAGUCUAAUGUUCAAAUGAUAAGCAGCUUGCCAGUAAUAGGUUUCAUUUUGCAGACCAAACUUCCCCUGCUGGAAGAACGCUUUUGAUGCCACCUGUCUAAUAGAUGAUAUAAUCUCAACUCGUUGAGCAGGAGACAUUGCAACAUCCCAUUCCUAAAGCAUCCAAUGAACCAAGAAUGUCUAUUUAAAUAAUGAUAAUCAAGUGACAAUUACAAUUGAAUUUGAAGCCAUCUCGGUGCCACAAGUAAUUCUCCAUGAAUAUUUAAAAUCCACACAGAGCAUACCUUUGUAUCUCUAAUCUUUGCAAGACAAGUUUUAAUGAUUACACGUUCUGUUUCUGGAAGUUCAGCUGAAAAAUAUAGAAGUUCUUCUAGUAUAUUCACCUACAGAAAUAAUAAUAAUAAUAAUAAUAAAACAGCACAGUGAGUUCUAUGCUUGGAGAAGUUAACCAUUUUACUUUCAUUUUUUGUAAAUUUAAUAACCAGCCAAUAUUUAGGUUCAAUAUAAACAAACAAAUGCAUACCUGUGCAGAUUUUACAACAAAGUUCUGGUAGAUGACUCAAAAAUAUAUUGUAAUAGACCUAAUGCUUCACUAGGGAAGUUCUUUAAGCUUAAUCACUGUCUAUAGAAAUAUAUUUUGAUAUAAUCAAAGUUGGUCGAGGAACCAUGAUUUUGAUGAAGUGAUCCAAACAACAUUCCUAUAUGUCAGCACAGCUACUGUGGCCUUAAUAAGUUUAGCUUUAUAAAUACAUUAUAUAAGUUGCAUUUAUUGAAGUUCUGAACUCCAACUAAAAGAUAUUUAGUUCACUAUAUAAAAAAAUAAGGCUAAUAAACAAUACAAAAAAGUUUAUAAUACCUGUCUACUCUUCCAUUGUAUAUAAGAUUUUUCAUUAGGAAAAUCAGAUCUGAAAAUGCCAAUGAGUAGCUCUAAUGAGAUUUGAGGCAGAUCAAUUUGCCCACAUGUUCUUCUUGCAGUAAGUUGUACCAUAUUUCGCCGAAUACAUGCAUCCAUUGCUUCUGAAAUCUAGUAAAGGAGAGUAUUUACUACUAAAAUUUAACCAAGCAAUACAAGAAAAAAAAAACACCAAAAACAAAAACAAAAGGAUAAAAUGAUAGCAAACAUAGUGCACACGAGGUUGACUGACAACAAGUUGGGACGAAUAGUAUGGUUGAUUAACAAAUUGUCGAAUAACUGAUCUGAAUAUCUUCAUCAGACUUUUUUUCUUAUUCAGUACUUAUGAUACUUAUAUUUUUAUUUAUUGGAUCACAAUUAGUUAAAUGGAUGAGAAUUAAAUUUUAAUACUUAGAAAUUUCAAAUAACUUUACCAUCAUAAAACACUAACUACUAGUAGCAUGAUUAACUCAUGACCAUAAAAAGACAAGUAUCAAGUCUUUUCACACCCAUAGUCAACACAAUAUACACUUGAUACGUGGAUUCAAGAAGUUUCUACAAGACCUGGUUUCGUGUAACAUGAAUAGUAACAACAACUUCAAAAGAAUAAUUGUAUUUUCUCAAACAGCUAUACCUAUAUCUACAAGAUACAACUGAAGUUAUACCAGAAAAGGAGAAGAUUUAUAGCUUGCCUGCAUUUGUGCACGAAUAGUAUCAACAAGUUCUGAAUGUCUUUCUGACAGCUGAGGUCGUGAAUGUGGUUUUUCCCUUUUACUCUUUAAUCUAGACAAAAAUUUUGAAUUCUUUUCUUUCUUCCUAUCCUCAACCGGAAACAAUUCGACCCUGAUAACAAAAAUAAAUGAGCUAGAGAUGACAACCAGACAUCAAGUUGAGAAAGAUUUUAGGAUACAAUCAUCGGAUUUACUUGAAAUCACAUCAGAUCAAAUGUACUAGAACCCACUGAUACUCAUAUACACAGGCGGGGAAAGAGAGAGUGUACCCAGAAAAAAACAUAGAUGCAAGCAAUAACUCGUAGGCUGAUUCCCGCAAGUCAUCAUCAGACAAUCCUUCAAAAAUCCUGAAGUUAUGUAUCAGUUUAUCCAAACAAGAAAUGCUAAGACAAGAUAUAAAUAUUAGCAUCCUUAUGGCAUUGUUUGUACCAGUAAAUACAUGGCAGUAAAUAAAAAUUAGACAAACAUUUCGUAAAUGUUUUAUAAACUUCUGAAUUAAAUUUUAAUAUAAGUUUAUCCAACCAAUACCUGUUUUGAGGGUAGGUAACCCAAGAGAAGGUAUUCCAGAAUCCGUGAAAGAAGCCCUAGCUACAGCUGCUUCUACUUUCUGUUUCAAACCAUAGUCAUCCCAUUGAGUUUCAACACUCUUCAUGUCGAAAGAAUCCAGCUUACUGGAUGAAGAUGAAGCAUGGUUAUUACUGCUAACACUAGUUGAAGGAGGCACCCGCCGAGGAGGAGAUCCAGCUAUAUCUGGAUCAGAAGUAAGAAAAUACGAAUCUCCUAAUUUAGAAUGAAUCUGCAAUUUAAGAACCAAAAAAAAUUAAAAACAUAUAUUAGUAAUAGUAAAAAUAUAGUUUAAGACUUCAAGUCAAUAGUGCAUCUUUUGUUCACUGCAAGUAAUUCCAGCAUUAAAGACCAAACUAAUUCUCCAAAAUCUAAUGGCACAAGUUGCACAUUUCUAGUUUAGCUUAAAAACUACUCAUUCCUAAUAACAGUUCUAAAUUCUAAUUGUUGAAAACCUAAUCUAAAAUUAUUCCACAAGCACGUGAAAGUAUUGCAAUAACAAAGGAGAAAAAAAUAAGUAAGUACUAUUUACAUAUUCACUAGAACGCAAAGCAAACAGUAAAAGACUUAAUAUGUACUACAACUAAAAUGAGAUAAGGUGAUUUAUUACCAUUAUUGGAUGAGCAGAUUCUGCAUAGUACUUAUUAGAAGCUUCAGAAACAUCAACGAUUCCACCUGAAAAUAAGCACAUGAAAAGAAACAACUAAACACGGAUGAUUCUAGAAACUACUAAUCACUAUUUCCAGCUGAAUUCCUUCUUUUUCUUUUCCUUCUCGUCCGAUUUAUCGGAAAUGAAAGUAAAACGAAAGAAAGCAUAUACCAGAUUUAAUACAGUGGAGGAUGUAAUCGGCACUGAGUUUGUCGAAGUCGGCGUCGGAGAGAGGAGUGGA
rnacentral:lncRNA from 1 species